rnacentral:lncRNA from 1 species
UUGAAACUAAACUAACAUAAACUAAUUAAAAAUGGAAGAGAAAAAGUCUCCCGGAGCUAAGGGUUGCUAGGAUCAAGUUCAGAAUAGAAAGUGGAAAAUUCCGGAUUUUUCUCCUCGCAUUGGGGAUUUAACCUAUAGUUAUUUCCCGAACCGGUAUAGGUUUGACAAUGAAGAUUUAAUCCAUAAAAGAUCAAUAGAAAUGGUAGUCAAGGUCCAUUAAUGGCUUAAGACACUAUGGGUCUUCACCUUGAAUCACUUUCCAAUGACUCGUACAUGAUAACUAAUGGACUAAUAUGGAUCUAGCAAUAAGCAUCCAUAAAGACCUGAAGCUUACCAUGUAUUGGUCAUUCAAAGUGAUUCUAAGGGGUUUAAAGCAAAACUUUGGAUUUAGAAGCCAUUUAUGAAUUCCAACUACCUGAAUUUAAUGCAUGGAAGCUUUCCACCUUUUCAUCUGGACUUUUCACCUAGCUUCCUUUACUCCAAGAAACCGAAAGUUUAGCCUCUCAUCCUCCGGGCAAACAUCCUUAGAGGUUGUUUGGCUUCCAAGAAAAAGAAAAUAAUAAUGAGAAAAGAGAAAUGAGAGAGCUCUGUAUAUUACACUAAGUGUCAAACGUAAUACGUAUUCUCCAUUCUAUAUCUUCCAAGAGGUGAUUUCCACCCCUUAUAAAGUCUUUACAAAAGCAAAAGCUUAUGAUUGGUUAGUUACAAGGAUAAGAAAGGAAAUUACAUCACAAAAUACAAAGGAAAAUAUCUAAAGUGGAGUCAGCUAAAACAGAGCAAAAUUCGCAACACGCAUGGGUUAUGCGAAUGUUAUGCGAAUUUCGCAUAACACCUUGUGGAAUGCGAAAUUUUCGCGUAACCUAGAGCAGUUGGCUUCCGAAGGCCAUAUCUUCCUCAUUUCAGAUCCAAAUCGUACACGGUUUGAAACGUUGGAUUCUUGACUUCCAGAGCUUUGAAAUGGUAUAUAGCAUGUAAAAAAUGGACUUCGGGAAGUGCUCCAAACGUGUGAAAGAAAACUGCAGCUGCUACAUCUUGAUUUUUUUCACUUUGCUUCUCUUUGCUUCUCUCCUUUGCUUGACUUGUCUUAAUGAUCCAAAAAGCUGUCAAAACAUUAAAACUAGCCACAAAUAUGAUUAGAAGACAUUGCUAGGUCCUUAACAUGCCAAUUGGACUAAAGAUGGAGAACUACUACACAAAAGUGCUUAAAACAUAAUGCAUUAAAGGUGUAAAAUAGCACUUUUUGGGUAGUAAUCAGAAAAUAAAAUACAAAACUAAGACCCUUAGAAAAACGACUCCUUAAACUUUUGGAAAAGUGCGUCUUUGAAAAAUCUGAGUCUAGGUACGAGGAUUAGGUUACUUAUUGGAAAAAUAACUUAAAAAUGUAGCACCCUCUAAGCCUUAAAAAGGUCUAUAAUGGUUAGGUUAAGGAAAGUGUCACAAUUAAUUGAUUGCAUUAGGGUGCCAAGAAAGGUUAAGGUGUUUACCUAAAUUUUAACUACAUAUUAAGUAUGUCAAACAAUCAUUUCAAGUCAUAAGUAUAAAGGAAGGAUAUGAUGUGCUCUUAGACUGAAAUCCAAGCGUUAUCAUAAGACAUCAAAGUUAGUUUAGAUAUCAUAUCACUCAACGCACUUUAUCAUUCAAAUCAAAGAAUCAAAUAACAAUCAAAACAACUAAUAACAACAUCAAACAUAGAGAUGUUUACACAUGAAACAUAAACAUUCGUUGACUUAUGAGGAAAAGGGUGAGGGGCGUUCCUGAAUUGCAUAAAUAAUUUACAAUGAGUUUCUAUAAGAUAACAACGAUUAAAAUAAAUUAUAAUGGCAAAUAACAAGAUCCUAAAUCCUAGCAUGCAUGGUAUCUACAUCAAGGUUUGAAAUAUUGAUAAAUACGAAUAUAUCGGUACUUGGAUUUCACGGAUAUAUUUGAAAUAUCGGUCAAAUAUCAAUGAAUAUUUUGAAAAAAAAUAUUUGUGAGACAUAAAUUCUUAAAAAUCCAUGUAAAAAUGCUUAGAAAAACUUCAAAAAAAAUGAUAAAAUAAGUAAUAAUACAGAUAUUAAAGUUAUUUUGUAAGUGUAAUUAAUAUGAGUAUGAUCAAAGAUAGUGUUUAUAAAAUCUUUAAGAAAAUAUUAGCUUAAAUUCCUUUAAUAUAUUUAUAUUCAUUUAUUUUAAAAAUUAAAAACUACUUUUAUUAAAACAUUUUUUAUUACAUUUUAAAUAAAAAAUAAAUCGAUUUGCAUAAAAUUUUUAAUUUCUAAAAUUUUGUUACAAAUUUGUGGUGACGAUUUUUUGCUAUUAACAUUAAUUUAUUUAAAUAAUUAAAAUUAUAAAAAAUAUAUAUUAAUAAUUUAUUUUAUCAAAUUAAUUUUAAUUUAUAGAAUAUUAGAACUUCAUUAUUAUUUUUUAUAUUUUAUCAAUUUUUGAAUAAAUUUAUAUUUUUGAAUAUUUUAAAAUUAAAACAUUUAAAAUUAAAUAAGAUUAGAGGAUAAAUAAAAAUAAAUAAAAUGAAGUGAUAGUAAUUUUUUAAAAUAGGAUUAAUGAGAUAAGUAUAAAAUAUAAUUAAAAAUAAAAAGAUAAUAUGAAAUAAAAGGGUGAUAUAAAUUUAAAAUAAAAUAAAAAUUAGAAAAAAAUAAUUUAAAAAACAUAGAUAAUUUUUUUUUUUCAAAAAUAGGCUUUCCAAAAAAUUGUAGAAAAAAUAGAUGAUUUUUUUUUUGGAAAAGCAUAUGAGGAGGAUGUGUGCAUACAUCACUUAUUUUUUUUCAGCGAAUUUAUGGAUUUUCUUGAAAUAUCAAUGAUAUUUCACCGAUUUCGCCAAUAUCACUGCUUUUUGGCAAUUUUUUGCCUGAUCAAUAAUUUGUACUCGAUUUCGUUUCAACCACCUCCAAUAUCAGAUAUUCCACUGAAAUAUUGGUGAAAUUUUUCGAUUUUUCAAAUCUUGAUCUACAUGGCAUAAAGAGAGAACAUAGACUCAUAAAUAUAUUAAUAUUUUUACAAGACACGCAUAGAAAUUCUAGAUAUAUAUAUAUAUAUAUAUAUAUAUAUAUAUAUAUAUAUAUAUAUAUAUAUAUAUAAGAUGUAAGAAACAAAGAUAAUAACAAAACAUAUAACCAACUAAUCAAAAUAUGGGCAUCACAAAUAUAAUUCUAAAUUAUUACCUAAGCAUCACUUGACCAGAUAAUAAACAAAAGCUAACAUCCAUAUUCGUUUAUCAUGAAUUAAACACUAAGAACAAGUAGUGUGCAAAAAUUCAUCAUAUGACCAGAAUGGUUUGUCUUCAAAAAUAAAAUCUAUAAAAUAUAUGAAGAUGAUGAAUUUGACCACCAAAGCACAAAAGACUUCUUCUAGAUUUCUAGAACAACAAACAAAAGUCCCAACACUCAUUCAAAUAUCAAAUUUAAUUAAAAAAAAAACCAAAAGUUCUAGAAGGUUUAGAAUUGGAUAGAAAACAACGACAUGCAUAAAUUGAAUGUUUAAAAAUAUCUAUAGGCCUUCUAAAUUCAUACAAAAAAAAAAAAAAAAAUCUCACAUAGAUUAUAUAUAAAAAAAUAAGCUAAGACUAGGUAGCAUUCAAAAUAAUUUUUAAAACACUCAAUUUUAUCAACUGUCUAAAACCGGUUAUGUUUAGUAAGUGUAACUUUGAAAAAUCAUAUCUUUAUUUAGAGAACAUAUAUUUCAAUAUUUUGUGUGUCAAAAUUCAAUUUCAGGAAGUCAAUAAUUUAGGAAAAAUAUUCAUUUAAAUUAAAAAGGUCAAAAGAAAAUUUAAUUUUAUAAAAUGCUCUCGAUUGUACAGUAUCAAGCCAAAACAGAACUUGCUGAAAGAAAAUAUUAUAACUUAACUUUGAGAAAAACUUUUUGACUCAAACAACAUUCCAGAAUCAACUACAAAAAGUGGGUAACAUCAUACAAAUUUUGGAAAUUUUUUUUAAAACACUCCAAAAUAAUCAAAACAAUUUUUUUUUCCUAAAGGGUUAGUAGUUGAGUUGACAACAAAGAUGAGUUUCUAAAAAAAAUCUUUCAUGUAGGGCGUCCAUCAAAUCCCUAUUCAAUAUUUGCAAGUUUAACUCGUGCGUUCACAACCUUGAAUGAAAAGAUUCACCAAGGCCAAGAAUACUCUUAUUAGCUUGGAAGCAUAGGUUCAAAUUUAUGUGAAUAAAAAAACAAAGUUUUGGAAAACCAAAAAAAAAAGAAAAAAAAGAAUGUAACUUAGAUGAAAUGAGUUGUAUGCUUUUAAAAGAAAGUCAGAUUCUUGCCUUAAACUUAAAAUAAAUUUAUUUCAAAGUUUUUAGAUAAUUUAAACUCUUUCUAAAACGAUUUUUAAGGGAAGCAAGAGGAACCAAGUGAAUUAAUACAUCUCAGUCAAUAGACACAAAAAGGUUUUGUAAGUUUCUAACUUAAAGGGAUUAAAGAAAACAAAAGAAAUGCUUAUUUGGAUCCCCUUUUUUGGCUACCCUUCAUUAGCAAUCAAGGAACCUAAUCCAUGAUGGUGUAAUUUUUUUUUUUUUGUAAAAGAAAUUUGGACUUAAUUCAAAAUGCUAAUUUUAAAAAACUUUGUCUAAAAAAACAAGCUCUCAAAGAUAAAUAAUUAAACAUCAUCCAUUUUUAACAAGGAGACUACAUUUUAAGAAUAAUUGACAUGCUUUUAAAAAUAAAUAAUUGAACACGAAUUUUAAGAAGGAGAUCAAAUAUUAAAAAUAAACAUCUUUCAAAGAUCAAUGACAAAAACACUCAAUAGCAUAUCAAAUAUCAUGCACUUAACUAAUAAUAAAUCUAAAUCUAAAAAAUCAUGAUUUCAAAGAAUAAUGACAAAAAACUCAAUAGCAUAUCAAUUAUCAUAAAUUUAACUAAUAAUAAAUCUAAAUCUAAACAACCAUGCUUUUGAAAAACAAAGACAAAAAAACUCAAUAGCAUAUCAAAUAUCAUGGACUUAAUAAUAAAUAUAAAUCUAAAAAUUCAUGCUUUCAAAGAACAAUGACAAAAACACUCAAUAACAUAUCACAUAUCAUGAACUUAACUAAUAAUAAAUCUAAAUCUAAAAAUAAUCAUGCUUUCAAUGAACAAUGGCAAAAAACUCAAUAGCAUAUCAAAUAUAAUGGAUUUAACUAAUAAAAAAUCUAAAUCUAAAAAAAAAUAAUAAUCAUGAUUUCAAAGAACAAUGGCAAAAAAAACUCAAUAGCACAUCAAAUAUCAUGAACUUAACUAAUAAAAAAUCUAAAUCUAAAAAAAAAAAAUAUGUUAUGCUUGCUCUCAUAUAAAUGUCCAUCUUCAUUUAACCUGGUCUCAAUAGCUUAGAGAAACAAAAUAAGUAAGAUUACAUGAAAUCAACUAUAGACUCACCUUUCCUCGAUGUGUUUUCCAAGUUCACGAGAGACUUAACUUCCAAAGUUUUCUAUAAUUUUAUUUUCGAUCUCAAGGUCUAAUUGUUGUAGCUUUUCCUUGAUUCAGCCCAGAUUCUCUAAAAUGGUGUGAUGCAACUCAGGUUCUCCCAAAGAUGGCAUGAUCCCAUUCUUCUUCCUCAUUUUUCUUCUAAGUGUGCUCUCAAUGAUCCUCUCAACACAACCUAAAUGUCAUCCUCCAAAAAACGUAUCCUCCUCUUUUCCCCACCCAAAAAUAAUAAUAAUAAUAAUAAUAAUAAUAAUAAUAAUAAUAAUAAUAAUAAAACUUAUCUUUCCAUUUUUUUUUUGAAAAAAAAAAAUUCCUUUUAAAUUUUUUUCUUGAAAAAAAAAAAAUCAAAUUCUCCUUAAAAAUGUUCUCAUAUCUUCUUUAAAAAAGAAUAUCUCUUUUUAUUUUUUAAAAAAUAAAAUUCUUUUUUUAAAAUUUUCUAAUAUCUUCUUUAAAAAAGUAUUUCAUUUUUUUUUUUAUAAAAAAAAUCUCCUUAAAAAUUCUCAUAUCUUCUUUAAAAAAAAAACUCAUCUUUCUUUAAAAAAAAAAUAAAAAUAAUUUUUUUAAAAAAAUUUCUCAAAUUCUUAAAAAUAUCUCAUUUUUAAAAUGAAAUAAAAUAAAAUUCUCCUUAAAAAUUUUCUCAUAUAUAUUUUUUUUAAAAUACUCAUUUUCCAUUUUAAAAAAAAUAAUAUUCUUCUUUAAAAAGUUUUCAUAUCUUCUUUAAAAAAAUUAUCAUCUUCAUUUUAAGGAAAAUAAAUUUCUCUUUUAAAAAAAAAAUUGAUACAUUUUCCCUUGCAAUUGGUCUCCAUUCACAAACCAUGCAAAAAAUACCUAAAAGGUGAUAUAGAUGGAUCAAGGUGUGUCUAAAUGGAUCAGGGUGUGUCUAAAGGGGUUAGGGUGCGCUUAAAUGGGUCAGAGUAUAUCUAAAUAGUUUAGGGUGUGCUAAAAUGAGUCAGAUUUGCCUAAAUGGGUUAAAGUAUGUGUAAAUGGGCCAAAUGUGCCUAAAUGAGAUCAGACAUGCUUAAAUGGGUUAGAGUGUGUCUAAAUAGGUUAGGUGUGCCUAAAUAAGCCAAGGUUUGUCUAAAUGGGUCAAGUGUGCCUAAAUGGGUCAUGGUAUGUCUAAAUGAAUCAAGUGUGCCUAAACGGGCCAAAAGAGUGACAAAUGGGCCUAAGUGACCUAGGUAGGCCAAUGUGCACUUAGAUGGGCCAAGGUGCACCUAGAUGGGCGUAUGCUUAAAUAAGUUUGGAUAUGCCCAAAUAGGCCAAAUGUGCCUAAAUGGACUAGGGUAUGUCUAAGUGGGACAAAUGUGAUGUGCCUAAAUAGGUUAAGGUGUGCCUAGAUGGGCUAGAUGUGCCUAAAUGGGCCUCAAUAACCUAGGUGGGCCAAAGUGUGCCUAAAUGAGCCAAAUGUGCCUGGAUGGGUCAGAUGUGUCUAAAUGGGCCAAGGUUGGGGUGUGCCUAAAUAGGUCAGGGUAUGCCUAAAUGGGUCGGAGUGUGUCUAAAUGAGUUAGGUGUGCCUAAAUGGGUCAAGGUGUGUCUAAAUGGACUAAGUAUGCCUAAAUGAACUAGAAUGUAUCUAAAUUGGCUAAGUACACCUAAAUGGAUUAGGGUGUACCUAAAUAAGUUUAAGUGACCUAGGUGGAUUAAAGUGUGCCUAAAUGGGCCACAAUAUGCCUAAAUGGGUUAUGGUGUGCCUAAAUGGGCCAAUGUGUGCUUAAAUGAGCCAAAAUUGUUUAAGUGUCAUAGGAUGUGUCUAAAUGGUGUCCUUAAAAGUGCACCUUAACAUGCCUAAGCGUAUUGUCCUAAAGGUGUACCUAAAUGAGCCAUCCUAACAAGAAAAAUAAUAAUCAUAGAUCAAACUCAAAGUUGUCAAUGAUCACAAUGAAUGGUCAAAUUAAUCCCUCAAUUGAAGCCUCCAAGGGUGGCUCAGAGAUAGUAGGUUGUACAAGUGAAAACGGGUCACUAAGGGAAGGCUCUAGAAUAGUGGGAUGUAUGGGAAAACACUUAGAAUGGCAUGUGCUAUAAGGAAAAAAUAGAGGGUCUACACAUACAAAAAACUAUGUACAAGUAUAUACAAGAAUUCUCAUGAACUUUCUAGAAUCCUCCAUAGUUUUUCACUAUCUCUAAUUUAUAUGUUGAGAUGUGUAAAUGUCUUCAGAGUCUUCUUGAAGCUUCUUGUUCCUUUAAAAAAACUCAAGUGAAGGGCCAUUUUAAGCAUAUUGUGACAUUCUCCCCAUUUAUGUCACAUAUGUCCUCAUCAUCCCUUCUACUCGGAAUCAUUUGAUUUGUUCUUGAAACUACCACAAAGCAUUUGUAGGUCCCCAACUAGCCUCACUUUUCAAUAGUCCUUUCCACUUGACUAAGCACGCAGGAGGCAUGCCUCAUCUCUUGAUGACUCAAUCUAUUAAGAUGUAUUUUACUUCCCUAUCAUACGAAGUUUGCCAAUUAUAAGCUCUCUCUUUGAUAUUCCUCAACUUGGAUCAUUCUUGUAUUCAUGAUAAGGCUUCAAGUAGCUUGCAUGGAAGACAAGAUGGAUCUUUAACCUUUCGAGCAGUAAUCUUUUAGCAUUUUCCUUGGCAAUGACAAACAUAUUUCAACAAACAUUAGGCAAGCAAUUUACUAAUCAAUGUACUCUAAAGUUUGACCAAUAGAAAAAUGUGAACAUUUUACAAUAAACAAGCAAAGUAGUUAUGAGGGAAUGGAAGAACCUUACCAAUGGAUUUAGAUGCAAAUGAUCGAAGAUGAAGAAUGGAGAAGAUUUUAUUUUAUACAAAAGAACUCUAGGAAUUUGGAUGUUGGUGGUUUUAUAUAGGAUUCGAACCCUUUGUCUACUUAAUGAAUAUGAUAACAAAGAAAAACAAUGACAUCUCACUUGAUGACUACACCAUCAAAGUCGUAGAAAAGAAAAUUUGAAGCAAAACAAAAACGACGUCAUCUAACAAGGAAGGAAACUAAUAAAAUAUUUAUAUCAGAGCCAAGUUUUGAUCCUAGGACUGGUAGGUUAUGGGCCCACCAUGCUUCUACUAUGCCACUCUAAUUUGAUGUUGUAAACUUGAAAUCAAUAAAACUAAUUCCAUAAAGCAUUAACCUUCCACUUCUAAUAUUUUUUUUGUUUGAGAGUAAUUAACCUUCCACCUCUAAUAUUUUUUUUGUCUUCUAUCAAUACUUGGGGUGCGUUAUCCAUUAAUGAGCAUCACUGAAAGGUGUAGUUUAUAAAACAAUAAAAUGAAAUUGAAAUACAAGGCAAUUUAUAAUAACAAUAUAAUUUUUUUAAAAAUUAUGUAUGAAAGAUAAUCACAAAUUUAUAAUAUAUAAAUAGUAUAACUGAGUUCUAAUGAAGUUUUUCUUGAUUUAAAGUAUUAAAAAAUUGAUAAAAAAAUAUUUAAUAAAUUAAUAACAUCAUUUAAAUAAUAAAUUCUUCUAGUCUCAACUCAACCAGUGUAUCAAAUUAAUCACCUCUCGAAAUCCAUAAAAUAAUAAUAUUUUAAAAAUUAUAUAUAUGUAUAUAGACACACACACCCACAUAAAUUAUAAAUAGAUAAGUUAAAAUAAUUAUUGCAUAAAAUAACAAUUAUUAUCAUAGAUUUAAUUUUAUAAUCUUUUCAUUAUCUUAUCAUUUUAUAUAGCAAUAAUUAUGAAAUAUGAUAAAUAUUCCUUGCCAUGUUUAUGAAUAUGCAUCACAUAACACUUGUGACAUUCAAAAUCAAUAAUAUGCAAGGAUUACGGUACCAGUAGACUUUUAUUUUAUUUUAUUUUAUAGUGUUGUGCACAUAGUACUAAUAUUCAUGCUUACUACCAUGACAUACUACCACUAUGUUACAGACUUAGGUGUUUCCUAAGCUUACAUAUGACACUUAGACAACUUAAGCCUCUUGAAGUUGCUAAGUUAGUCUUACCUUGAUCUUAGCUCACGAUGCUAGCAAUGCUAUUUGACUCAAAAGUUACGUAAGAUGUACAAAAGCAACAACACUUGAAGAAUUGAAGCUUGUAUUGCACUAAGACAUUUUACAAUGCUUAAAAGCUUUCAAGUGUUUGGUGCAUUAGCCAAAUGACAUCAUUCUCUAUUUAUAGACAUCUAAGAAACUCUUAGGAACCCUCAUAGGUCCCCUACUACUCUAAUUCUGUAGAAUAUCAUACAAAAACUAUGUACAAGUAUAUACAAGAAUUAUCAAGAACUCUCUAGAAUCCUCCAUAGUUUUCCACUAUCUCUUGCUCAUAUGUGGAGAUGUGUAGAAAUCUUCAGUGUCUUCUAUAAGCUUCUUGCUCUUUUACAAAACUCAAGUGAGGGGUACUUUAAGUAGAUUGUGAUAUUCUUCCCCACCAUUACCACAUAUGCCAUCAUUCUCCUUUCUACUUGGAAUCGCUUUAUGUGCUCUUGGAAUUGCCAUAAAGCAUUUAUAAUCUCCCAACUAGCCUCAUUUUCCAAUAGUCACUUCCACUUGACUAAACACAUAAGUGGCAUCCCUCAUAUCCUGAUGACUUAGUUUGCUAAGAUGUAUUUUAUUUCCUUGUCAUACGAAGUUACGACAACUAUAGGUCUUUUUAAUAUUUCUCGACUUAGAUCAUCCUUGUUCUCUUGAUAAGGCUUCAAGUAGUUUGCAUAGAAGACAAAAUGGAUCAACCUAAGAGGUAACUCACUCGAUCGGACAUCUUGUCAACUUUCCUAAAUAUAAGGCAGAGGCCUUCAUAUCUCCUCACAAGGCCUUAAUGCAUCGACCUUAAGGACUUGAACUACUAAGGAAGUAGAUAAUAAGCACAAGUCUUAACUUGAUACUCAAUGUGUGGCAUUUUCUUGUCAGCCCACUUUUGCAUCUUCUUAGCGGUCUUACCUAAGAAUGAGUGAGCGAAGUCAACCUACUCAUACCACCCCUUAGCAAACUUGAAUGUGAUUAGACUCCUUUGUGUGUAGCCCAUCACUAAUAUGUGAUGAAUCAAUGGUUACUCCUCAUAUCUAGCUUGAAUUAAGUCACAUCUAGCAACUUGACCUAAUCUCUUUGAUUGGCACUUACAAAGUGUCUUAAGUAUAGCUUCAAAAAAGCAUUUUCCAUUUUUGGUUGUUUAUCUGUCUAUGGGUAAAAGCUAGUAAAAGUGAAGCUUAGACCCUUAUCAUCUUCAAAUAGCUCCAUCCAAAAUUUCCCAAUGAAGCUCAAGUUGCAAUCAUUAAUGAUCUAUUUAGGCAAGCCCCAAUACUUAACUUCAUGCUUUAAGAAUAGCCUCAUCGACUCUACUAUAAUGUAGUUAUUAGGGAUUAUUAUGAAAGUGGCAUACUUAGAGAACUUGUCCACCACAAUAAGGAUUAAGUUAUAGUCUUUCGACUUUGGUAACCCAAUGAUGAAAUCCAUGGUGAUGUUCUCCCAUUGCCCAUCUGGUAAGGGUAGUGGCUCUAAUAGGCCUUUGGGUAAUAGUUGUUCUACCUUAUCUUAUUAGCACACAAGACAAGUCUUAACAUGGGCCUCAACCUCAUCCCACAUCUAAAGUCAAUAGUAAGUUAGCUUUAGUAGUGUUCUUAAACAUUGUUAUCUAGAGUGACUAGCCCACUUAGCGUCAAGACACUUCUUGAUUAAGUUUUUCCUUAAAUUGCUCCACUUAAGCACGUAGAGUCAUUUUCUUCAGUGCAGAUUAGGUCGUCCUCGACCUAGAACUGCUUAGUCUUCUUCUCAUGUGUUAAGAUGAUAAGACUCUUAGCCAAACAUGUUAAGAUAGAGCCUUUAAAAGUGUGACAUGAUGUGACAAAUUUAGAUUAUUAUUUAUUUAAUAAGAUUCCAAUUUUACUUUUAUCUAUCAUAUUUCAUGCUUUAUACCUUAUGAGCAUUUUGGCAUAGUAUCUUUUGUAUUGUACAUGAUUUAGGUGCAAUAGGAGUUUCAUAGAAGAUAUCCAAGUUAUGAAAUUCUUACAAAUAGAUAAUUUACUCACAGAUAAUUUAUGGACUUAGGCAAUCUAUUUAAGGUUGUAGUAUAGUACUUCCUAAUUUGAAGGGUGGUUGUUCUUGACCAUCGGGAUGGAGUUCCAAUGGUAAGUAAAAUAGUAUAUGUAGUUACAAAUUGGACAACACCUAUGAUGAGUNNNNNNNNNNNNNNNNNNNNNNNNNNNNNNNNNNNNNNNNNNNNNNNNNNNNNNNNNNNNNNNNNNNNNNNNNNNNNNNNNNNNNNNNNNNNNNNNNNNNAGUAUAUGUAGUUACAAAUUGGACAACACCUAUGAUGAGUCAUGAUAUAAUGCUAUUAAGUUAUCAUGAUUUCACCAAGUUGUUAUACUAUAUAGUUUCUUAAUCUUGAGAGAAUAUUAAGUUUGUGCCAAAUUUUGUAGUGAUUUUGAGCUACAAGUGAGAUCCUAAGGUGAUAUAUUCCUUAUGAAUUAGGUCACUAUUUAUGAAAGUUAAUAACAAUAGGUAUUCUCAAUAGAGGUAUCAUGAUAUCUCAUAGAGUUUAAGAUAGUGAGUCUCUUUAGGUGAUCCUAAGGAGUUGUGUUUAGGUAAACUAUGGUUAUAAUAGUUCUUUAAGUGAAACUUAACAUAAGCUCUUUGUGAGUUAAGACAUAUUAGUUAAUCACACAAUAAAAGGAUAUGUAAUUCAAGAAUAGUAGAGGUAAUCUUGAUAGAUUGAUGACAUUCACCUUGUUUAAUUAUAAAUACCAGUUCAUAGGGAGACUACAUACAAAGGAUAGUAGGUCAAGGUGAUUGGAACUAAAAUAUAUGCUCUAAUGAUACAUAUAUGAUAUAAUUUAUGUAAUAUAAAAAUAUCAAAUCAUCCAACUCAACUUCAAUACAUAUCAAGACCCUUGUUAUGGACUUAACUUUUAUUUUGAGCUUAAUUCUAGUUUUAAGGGAUGAAAAGAAUGUUAAGUGCAAAAAUUAACCUUAACCAAAGAAGUAGAAGAGUUAAUUAAGCAUAAAUGAGAGACUCUGAACUUGUGAACCAUGAAGAGUCCAAGUAAAGGCAUAAUGAGCAAGUCAUAAGCAUAAAUACUGGCAACAGAUGUCAUGAAGUGAGAUAAAGGGCAAACAACCAUAACGAAGAAAGUUUAGAGCAAAUGCAAUCAAGUUCACAUGGAAAUUUGGAACUCAAAAUCUAGUCACAACAUGUACUCUAACUUUGAGGUGAAAUUUGGAGCAUUUCUUGACGUCAUUUUUAGGCAUGCUAUAUAUCAUUUCAAAGCUCAAGAAGUCCAAAGUCCCAAACUUCAAAUGGUGUGUGAAUCAAAGCUAAAAUGAGGAAGUUAUGCACAUUGGAAGCAAAUUGGUAGUAGGUAAGUUUGAAAUUCAUAGAGAAUUUCGCACUCAUGUGUUGGAUUUUGAAUUGGACAUUUUUCCUCCACUUAUGUAUUCAAAAUUGAUUUGGAACUCACCCCAAUUUCAAACUCAGCCACUAGUGACUGAGUUUGAGCAUUAAAACACAUUGAAUUGAGUUCUAAAUACCUUUUUCCAAUUUGAAAUGCAUGAUACUCAUUUAGAACUCAUAAUAUUUAAGUCUUUUAGGUUGUUUAAGACUUUUCUUUGAGAAAAGUGGCCAAUGGGAGUGUACCACAUGUUAGGUUAUUGAAUUUAUUAUAUAAACUCUUUUAGUUCAAGAGUUUUAGAAGGGAAUAGAAGAUGAUAUAAUAUGGAGAGGGAGAUCAAUCUUUUUUCUUGAAAUUCUUUAAUAAAGUUUUAGCUUUUCUUUUCUUUUCUUUUAUUUUCUUUUCCAUCAUUCUAUUUUAUUUUCCUGGUAACCAAACAUAAGUUGUGAGGAGAAAUCCUCCACCAUGUUUAGCUAACUUAAUCGAUCCGGAAAUGCUAAUAGGAAGGUGAAGAAUCCAAACAAAAGUAGUAAAAACAUGGUAAAGUUUGGUUUUCUUUAUGUUGUCAAGAUUUAAUUGAUAGGAAUAAAUCCUCUAUGUGAGAUCACCCUAGAUAAAUUACAAAGGAUUCUUAUAAAGAUACUAGUAAUUCUUGGGAGAACCUUGAUCACUAGUUACUAUAAUUUGAUCAUACUAUUAAUGAAUCUAAGGGUCAAAUCUAAAAUAAUGGAUAUAGAAUUUGAUUGAAUAAAAUUGAAAAUCAAAAUUAACCAUCAAAUACCCUUGUGAGUUGUAUUAGGGAAUGAUUGGUAAAUUAUUACUUAAUACUAGUAAUUCUUGAUAACUUUUGAUCAUUAGUUAUUCUAGUUUUCCUUAUCCUUAUCUCUCCCAAAACAAAUCUACAAAGAGCAGAAAGAGUUAAAAAGCCAAACCUUUAACCGUUAAUUAAUCUUAUUCACUUAAUGGUUUUAGGUAUUUGUUUUAAAAGGGAAAAAUAUAAGUUUUGGAUACAAUAGUGGUCUUAAGAUUCAAUUUGGUCGCAGAUUGACAGUGAUCCUAAAUCCUAAAUUUUGUAAUACCAUAUCUCUCUAAAAAUUUGAUAGUGGAUUGAGAAACUCUCCGGAACAUUCUUUCUCUUGUCUAAUUUAAUUCAUUAAAUAUUUUAUAAAAUCUUCAUUUAUAUUUUAUCUUUAUUUAUUUUAUUUAGGGCUUUAGUAACUUUAGCAAAGAAUUAAUCAUUUUGAUCGAAAUACAAAUAAACAUAUUAAAGUUGAUCCUAAAUGACAACAACUUGAAAUACUAUAAAGUCAUGGUAACUCUAUCUCUAGUUUUUCUUGGAAAAAGUUAUCACGUAUUUAGGCUUUAGUAUUUUAUUUAUAUUAGAUAUUUGCGGCUAACAGACCCAAGCAACUUACCUCUCUUUAUAAUUAUUAUUGCAAUGUAGUUGACUUUCUAUGAUAGGAUGUUGAGUCAAUUUAAGAAUUCGAUUAUAAGGGAUCUAGUAUUAUCCUAUGGUCCUAAUGGUCCCUACUUUAUCUCAUAUUCCUUGGUGGUGUAGUUUAUAAGAGGCAAAUUGUUUUUUAGUUUACUUAUGUCCUUAAAGAGGUUUUGGUAAAUAUUUAAGGUUGUAUAGAGGUUAGUAAAAAAUAUCUCUAAACUGGGCUAAUUGAUUAAUUGGAGCCCACUUAGGCUUGGUAGUAAAUAUUUAUGGUCACCUCACGUGCUACACCUUGCAAGGGCUUGGUAGUAGAGUUGACUACCUUAAGCCUUCCACCUUUCUUGGAUGCAUGAAACUUUAGUCUCUUUACUUCAUCCAUAGAGACAAAGUUGUAUGUGGCACUGGUAUCAACCAUGGUCUUGGUGGGUUUUCCAUUCACAUGGGUUUCUACAUACAUCAAUCCUUUGUUCUAGGGUGUCUUAGACACUAGCUUAGCCUUGAAAAUGUUCAAGAGCUACAUUGACCCAACUUAAUCAUCAUCAUCUUUUUCAUUCUUAUUAAUCAUGACAUUAAGGACCUUUUUCUUAAGGCACUAUUGUUGUAGUAUGGACCAUCACAUAUGAAGUCAUUGGUCUUCGACGUGAACUCCUUCCACUUAUAUUUGUUUUUGUCUUCCUUACCGCCAUAGGUCUUACUUGAUCCUUCUUUAACAACACUAUAAUCCUUUAACCCUUUGUCUCCCCUACCUUUGGUAUGGCUACCCUUUGAUAGCUUAGGGUUGGAGGAGUUUCCCUUUUUGUACUCCACAAAGGACUUUGCUACUACCAUGUUUGUGGAAAAAUCUUGGACAUCAUGGCAUCUUAGCUCUUACUUCACCUAACUUAUAGAUUAUCUACUGUACUCAUGGAUUGAACCUGUGUGCUUGAGACAAUUCAUGCUUCUUCUUGCCAAGUAAGCCACAUCUUUAGGAUAAAAUGGUUUUUUGAUAUUUUUUUAUAGGUGUCUCAUGUGUCUAUGGUACGUGUGUCUUUCUUUCUUUUGAUAAACCAUCUGCGCCACCAUUGAGUAAUAGGGUUUGUGUGGUAGAGGGUCAUAGUUCGUACCUUAGUAGCCUCAUCUAUUAGUGUCAUCACCUCAAAAUUUCACUUUAUGUGUCAUAAAAUGUUAUCUAGCGUCUUGGCAUUUCUCUUACCAUUGUACAUGUGUGACUUUGGCACUUUCACCCUCGGUGUCUCAUGAGUAACCAUGACUUGAGCAAAAACAACUAUGCUAUAGAUGGCCAACUACUAAUGUAUCAUUUGAUCCCGAGUCUCCAUAUGUGUUGCUAAAGACUCUAUCAUUGACUUCAAGCUAGCAAGCAUGCCCAUCACCUUGUCUUGGAAUGACAUGAAAUCCUUAUGUGACACUUGUCAAACUUGUGAGGCUAUCACCCCCCACUUUGAGUUCUUAGAUAUGUUUCAUUAGAGUCUUCAAGCUCCUCUCUAUGCUUUGCCUGAUCAAGUCCAUUCCCUCCCAAGUGUCUAUCGUGGCUAAUUAUUUUAGGAUAAAGCCCUUGAAAGUAUGAUAUUAUGUAAUAGAUUUUGAUUUAUUGUUUAUUUAAUGAGAUUAUAGUGUCCAUUUUCUUUCUAUCUUGUUCUAUACAUUAUAUUUUAUGAGCAUUCUGAUUUAACAUCUUUUGCAUUAUAUAUAACUUAGGUGUAUUAGGUAUUGCAUAAAAGAUCCAAGUAAUGGGUUCCUUGCAAGUAGAUGAUUUGUUUGUAGCCAAUUCAUGAACUUAGACAAUCCAUCUAAGGUUAUAGUGUUACCUCUUAAUUGGAGAAAUGACUAGUCUUAGUUAUUAGGAUGAGUUUCCCAUGGUGAAUGCACUAGUGCGUAUAGUUAAAUAAUGGAUAAGAGCUAUUGUGAGUUAUAAUAUAAAGUUAUUGAGUAUUGAGUAGUCAUGACUUUGUCGAGCUACUGUACUAUAUAUCCUCUGCAAAUUAGGUCAUUGUUGAUGAAGACUAGUGACAACAAGUAUUCUCAAUAGAGAUAUCAUGAUAUCUUAUGGAAUUUGAAAUAGUAUAUCUCCUUGGGUGAUCCUAAGAAAAUGUAUUUAGGUAAACUAUAACAUAAUAGUUCUUUAAGUGUGACUUAACAUAAAUUCUUUGUAAGCUAGGUCAUAUAAGUUGAACACAGAAUAAGAGGAUCUAUAACUCAAGGAUGGUAGAGUUAAUCUUGAGUGGUUGAUAACAUUCACCUAGUUAGAUUACAAAUUUCAAUUCAUGGGGACACUGUAUAUAGUGGAUAAUAGGUUAUGUACCUGAGCACCUUGUCUCUCGUUGUAAUUUACAUAUGGUAUUGGAAUGUAGUUAACUCUUUAUAGUGAGACAUUUAGUCAACUUUAACAUUGGAUUAUGAGGGAGCUAGUAUUGUUCUAUGGGUCCCAAUGUUCUCUACUCAAGCUUAUAUUAUUUGAAGACACGAUUUAUGAAGGUUGGAUUGGUUCUUGGCUCACUUAUGUGCACAAAAGUGUUUUAGAAAAUACGCAAGGUUGUACAAGAGUUAGUGAACAAUCUCUUCAAACUAGCCUAAUUGAUUCAUUGGAGCCCAAUUGGGUUAAUCAAUCAAUUAAGACCUUUUCUGGGUUAGAUUAAGUGACUCAAAUCCAAGGUGCGCUCAAGUUACUUAAACUCAUGGGAAACCUAUAAAUACUCCUUUAGGGGUUAGGGUUUCAAGCUCUUCCAUUCACUUUUCUCUCAUACGUUCUAAAAAGACAAAAAACCAUAGCCUGUAAAUCUUUAAGAUUUCCACCAUCGUUGUGCGAAGGUUCAAGGAAAAGUUUCAGGUGGAAGAUAACUGUGUUUACAAGAUCUUCUACGAUUUUGAGGUUUUCUACACCUACAAGAAUUGGUUUAGGAACAUCUAGAUCUCAGGUAAUCGUUGAUUUUCUAAAUCUAGAAUUUUGUUUAUAUCAUAUGUUUUUGUUAUGUAUAGACUUAGAAGCUUAGGAAGUUUUUGCAUGUAAUUAAUUAAUCUCGAGCCAAGGAAAUGAGUGAUCUAAGAUUCUCUAUAGUCAUAACUUUACCAAGUUAUUAUGUUGCCUGACUUCUCUUAACCUUGAGAAAAUAUUGAGUUAAUGUUGUGAUUUUCAAUGACUUUGACUAAUGGAUAAGACCAUAAGGUGGUCAUACAUUCCCUACAAAUUAAAUAGUUAUUCAUUGGAGAAAAUAGCAAGAGAUAUUCUUAAAAAAGACACAAUGGUAUCUCAUGAGAUUGAGACAAUAUGUCUCUUUGGUGAUCAUAAAGACAUGUGAUAAUGUAUCUUUGGCGGUAAUAAUUUUUUAAGUGAAAUUUGAUAUAUAUCCUUUGUAAAUUAAAAUGUGUUAAUUGAUCACAAAAUAAGAGGAUUUGAGACUCAAGGAUUAUAGAAGUAAUCUCGAGAGUUUGAUAAUAUCUACCUUGUUAGAUUACAAAUAUUAAUUCAUAGGAAGUUUGCAUAUAAUGGAUAGUGGAUCACAAACUCAAGAAAUUGAUUAAAUCGGAUUUAAUUAAUUUCCAAUAAUGUCGUAAGAUACUAAGAUGCAAUUGACUCUCCUUAGUAGAAUGUUAAAUCAAUUUCAUAAUUGGAUUAUGAGGAAACUAAGUUAAGCCAAAGUCAUUUAAGCACAUAGGAAAGUCUAUAUGAACCCCUCAAGUUUUAGGGUUAGACAUUCAACCAUUCAUAAAGGUGGUUUUUUAGAAAUCCUAACUUUCAUAUCUCUCCCUCUCAAGAUAUGUAACCACUCUACAUAAUUUCCAAGGUUCAAAAAAAGGAGUGAUCAAGUGGAAGAUUGUGUGGAAUAUCAUGAGGUGUUUAAGAUCCGCUACAUCAACUGAAUCUAAUUUUGGAACAUCUAAAUCGUUGAUAAAAAAUUUUGGCACCUAAAUAUAAGUUUCAUCAUUAUAGUUGCUUUCACUACAUAAGAUCUAGCAUCCUUAGGAUGUUAGAUAGCAAGCGUCCCAAUGAUCUUGUGGUUUAUCCGAUAAUAAUAUGCAAAUAACAAGGAUAACAAAAUUAUAUAUAAACAAAAUUUUUAAAUAAAAAACAUGGGUUUGGUAUCAUAUGUAUUAGGAAUUUGAAUUAUAAGAAAUCGACAUCAAGAUUGUUGUUCUCAGAUAAAGAGAAGUACUUGGAUGGUAGGUUGAAAUUAAAGGUAUAACAUGAGUAGUAGGGGUGAACAUAAAUAAUAAUAAUAAUAAACCUAAAAUAGCAAUCAUAUUAAUUUGAUUUUCAAAAAUCAUAGAGGUUAGUUUGGUUUGAGAAUUUGAAAAUCAACGUUAUUGGGUUUGUUUUUGUUUUGUGUUGUUUUUUUUUCCCUAACCAUGAAAACUAAAUCAAUUCAAUAUUAUAAGAAUUAUAUAUAACUGUUCAAUGUUUGAUGAGUUUAUUAUUAUUAUUAUUAUUAAACUAUGUUAAAGUAAUUCAUUAUUCUUAGACUAUGGUCAAAUUAAUUUUUAAAUACAUUCAUUAUAUUAUAUUUUAGGCGAAAAAAUUUAAAUAUAUUCUUAACUUAAAAUUCAAGCUAGUUUUAAAAAUAAUUUAGAUUCAAAGUCUAAAUUAACUUGCAUCAAAAUCAACUAAGAUAAACAUGACUUCAUUUAAAUAUAUUUUGAACUUCCAAUCCAAUUUGGUUCCAAAUAGUUUUUAAAACAAAUUAGAUUUUAGGGCCUAAAUGAAUUUAUAUCAUACCAAUCAUCUAAACCAAAUCAAAUGAAUCUUUAAUUAAAUUUGGUUUGGUUUGGUUUUUCCAUCACUAAAAAGUAGGUUUGGCUUUGAUUCAAGCAUAAAUGGGUUGUGACAAUUCAAUUAAAUUUUCCUACAAAAAUCGACCAAUCUACACUUUUUCACACUCCUGAUGAAUAGGUGUAAAUCAAUAUUUACACCAACAUAUAAAAGGUAUCAAACUUAACAAAUCACAAAAUACAAAAAAGUAAAGAUGCUAUUGAGAAAAUAAAAAAUUGUUCCUUAUGCAAAAGUAAUUGGAAGUUUAAUGUAUGCGAUAAAUACCAAGUUAGAUAUAUGUCAUGCUAUCAGAUUAACUAGCUAGCAAAUACAACAAGCUGAUACUAACAAAUAUAUAACAAGCAAGAAAAAAAUAUUAAGACAUAUUCAAGGUACUAGAAAAAAAUGAAAUUAUGCUUUAGGCAAGGUCAUUGAAAAAUGUUUAGGCACACAAAUGUAGAUUUCGUUGAAGAUCUUGAUGAUAAUAAAUCUACAAAUGGUCACAUUUUUAUUUGGAGCACAUUUCAUAUCAUGGCCAAUUAAAAAGCAAACUUAUGUUACUAGGCUUAUGAUAGAAGUUAAAGAUGUAGCCUAUAGAACCACACCCACAGAAACAAUUAGGAAGCAUUUUAUUGAAAAUUUGAAGCUUAAUGAAUUUAUUAGGCUUGUAAAAUUGUCUUGCCAUAAUAAGGUUACAAUAUCAUCAAUAAAAAUGGCAUCAAAAGUUUUAAAGGGAAACCCAUUAAUGUUAACAGGUUUGAUGAAAUGAAUAUUAUGAUUUCUUAUUUUCUUUGUUGUACAUUGAGAAUACAUAUAUACAUGAUGAUAAAAAAUUGUAGAUCAUAUCUAUAGGAGAUGUUAAACAAAUAUUUAAAUUUUAAAAUAGUUGUUACAACUAACUGAUGGUUAGAUUAUGUGGAGUUGAUGAAGAAGUUGUAUUGACCGAGUUUGAUGGUGAAGUUGAAUCUAAAGUUUCUCUAACAUGCCCUUGCAAGACGGUGUUCCCAUUAGAGACAUCGAUUUUAGACCGCAACAAGCGAAAUGUGAGAGACGACAAAGGUUUAGUGAGUUAGUCUUUGGUGGAAAUGUGAGAAAUAGUAAAUGAGCCACGAGCAACAUGAUCACGAACAAAGUGAUAAUCAAUGGCAAUGUGUCUCAUUCUCGAGUGGAAAACAGGAUCGACAUAGUGAUAAGUUACACCAAUGUUGUCAUAGAAUAUCUAGGGAGAUGAAAGACAUCGAUCAUGAAAUUCAUUGAGUAGAUUCUUGAUCCAUAGGACUUUCGUGGCACAUGAGGUUAGGGCUCAAUAUUCUGCUUCAGUUGAAGAACGGGCCACUAAUUUUUAUUUCUUUGAGCACCAAGAAAUAGGAUUCACACCAAGGUAAAGAAUAUAAGUGGAAGUGAACUUGCUAUUAUCAUGAUCACAACCCAAUCAAUGUCUGUAAAAAAUGUGAGGGUGAGAGAUUGAUGGCGCUUGAGAAAAAAACCAUGAUGAGUGGCGGACUUCAAGUAACGCAAUACUCGCUUGGUAGCUAACCAAUGAAGUUUAGAUGGACAAUGUAAAAACUUAGCUAAAUGGUUAACAACAUAAGAAACAUCAGGCCAAGUAAGAGACAAGUAUUGCAAGGCACCAACAACCUAGAGAAAAGUUAUGGCAUUAGUUGAAGGAGAGCCAUCAUUGAGCUGUAGAAUUGAAGUGGAAGACAUUGGCAUGACACAUUCCUUAGCACAUGCCAUGUUAGUCUUUGCAAGUAAAUCCCAAAUAUACUUAUGUUGGGUUAAGAGUAAGCUAGUUAGAGUAGGAAGCACCUUAAUACCAAGGAAGUAAUGAAGAUCCCCAAGGUCCUUGAGAAAGAAACGAUGAGGUAGAGCUCUUAGAAAGCGUGCAGAGAAAUCGGUGUGAUUGCCUGUUACAAUCAAGUAAUUGACAUAUACCAAGAAAUACAAUGUUAUAGUAUCCUUAUGAUAGAUAAACAAAGAAGUGUCAUUGGUGGACAAAACAAAGCCAAAAGAGAGUAAAAAAAAAAACCUUUAACUCAUUGUACCACGCCCGUAGAGCAUGCUUAAGGCCAUAAAUAGCCUUGCAAAGUUUACACACAAAGUUGGGAUGAUUAUGAUCAAUGAAGCCCAGAGGUUGUUGCAUAAAAAACAUCCUCAUGAAGUGUACCAUGUAAGAAAGCAUUAGUGACGUCCAACUAGCAAAGAGGCCAACCAUGGAAUAAAGCAAGAUUGAGAAUAAUUCGAAUUGUAACGGGCUUGACAACAUGACUAAAGGUUUCAUGAAAAUCCACACCAAGCCAUUGAUGGAAUCCCUUGGCAACAAGGUGAGCUUUGUACUUGGAAAGAAUGCCAUCCAAAUUUCAUUUGAUAUGAAAAACUCAUUUGCAACUUACAACAUUUUGAGAACCAGAAAAGGGAACAAGUUUCCAACUACUGUUGCAAAAAAGGGUAGUAAGUUCAUCAGACAUGGCAGUCCUUCAAGCAACAUUUUUAAGAGCUUGAGUAACACAUGUGGGUUUAAUAGCUUCAGGAAGAGGAUGAGUGGUGGUUGUUUGGUAUAAUUGUUUAGGUUUGAAGAUAUUGCUCUUGGAACGGGUAAUCAUGGAAUGAGAUGGCUAUUUUAAGAUACGAGUGAGGGCAAAAUCUAGGAAAGAUGGAUCAGUUUGGGAGGGUAAGGGUACUAAAGGUGAUGUUGUAGAAACAUAGGGUGAUGUGGGAGACAAAUAACCUAAAGAUGGAAGUGAAAAGGAGAAAGAAAUAGAAGUACCUGAUCCCGCAGAAAGUGUAGGAGUUGAUUCUAUGGAAAAUCGAGGUAGACUGCACAAUAGAGCAACUGUGAGAUCUCGAACUAGUGCUUGAUGUACCAUGAUAGGCAAAGAUAGGAAGGCAAGAGGAAAAUAAGAAGACAAUAAAGACCAUGAAAGAGAAGAGCUUGAAAAAUCAGAAAUAGAGUUGGAAUGGGAAAAAGGAAAUUGAGUUUCAAAGAACCGAACAUGAUGAGAAGUGAAAAUUUUAUGAGUUUUGUUAUCUAGACAAAGAUAAGAAUUUUGAUGAAGAGAAUAACCAAGAAAGAGACAAAGAGAUGAUUUUGGUUCAAGUUUAUUAGACGUAUACAAUUUCAACCAAGAGAAGCAUAAGCAACCAAAAACUUUUAAUUUAUUGUAAUUAGGUUUUUGAUGAAAUAAUUUCUCAUAAGGUGAGGAAAACUAAAAAAUGGGAGUGGAAAGUCAAUUAAUUAGAUAAACUGUAGUUUUUAAAGGCAUAGGACCAAUAUUGUUGAAGAACAUUGGAUUGAUGAAGAAAAGUUAAGUCAGUGUCCACAAUGUGUUUAUGAUGGUAUUUGGCAGUGCCAUUGUGUUAAGAAGUGUAAGGUGGAGCUUGGAGAUGCUAAAUUCCCAAAGUACUAAGGAAGGGCUUAAGUGUAGUAUACUCUCCACCUCCAUCUUAAUAAAUUGAAAUAAUUGGACGAUUAAAAUAUGUCUCAACAACAACAUUAAAUUGACGAAAAAUGGCAAACACGUUAGAUUUUAAACGCAAAGAAUAGAGCCAAGAAUGCUUUGUAAAAUGAUCAACAAAGAGAACAUAAUAAUAGAAUCCAUCGAUAGAAAGAAUAGAAAAGGCCCCCCAAACAUCAUUGUAAAUCAAAUCAAGAGGACCACGACUUGUGAGACUCAAUUCACCAAACAGAAGAUGUCAACUUUUAUUACAUAAACAAGAAGAACAUGUAAAAUCAGAGGAAAUAACAAAUGAAAGGGAAACUAAACCAGAAGAUACAAGAUACUGAAAAAUUUUGGGAGUUGGAUGACCAAGCAAACCGUGCCAAAUUGUGAGAGAAGCCUUAAUGGUGACACUAGUGAAGAUAACAAUAGCUAAGUAGGGAUGUGCAGUUGGUGAGCUCGGCCAUUCAUAAAGAUCAUGCUUGUUAUUUCUGCGGAGUAGAAGUGAUCCCGUAACUAAUUCAUUGACAAAAAAAUAAGAAGAAAAAAACUCAAUAGAAGUAUGAUUAAAACAAUAAAACUUAGAAACGAAAAUAAGAUUUUUCUAGAGAGAAUGAACACAUAAAACAUUCAAUAAAUGAAGAGAAUGAGACAAGGAGAAGGAACUCGUAUGAAUGGUCUUCAAAUCUAUACCAUCACCAAUAGCAAUAUCAUAUGGACCCUCAUAAGGUUGAGGAAGGGAGAUGUUUGACAUUUGAGACGUGACAUGGUGAGAGACACUAGAGUCGACUAUCCAUGGAGUUGAAGGCGGAGAGGAAAAAACUAGAAACACCACUUGGCAUCAUCGCCACGUUUACCACAUAAUUGACAAAAAACUGGGUUAGUUGAUGGAGUAGAGAAUCGAGGUUGUUGAUUGAUAGAAUGAGGAGUUGGGAGUAAGCAUGGUGCAGAUGUGGAAUUGUUUGGUUUGGAAAAUCUGAAAGAAGGAUGAGAGUUUGGCAAAGUUGGUCGUAGGUGGGAUGAGAUUGGUAUGUUGUGUCUCAGUGUGAAGGAUUAAUGUCUCAUGGCCAAUGAUCUUAUCAAACAACUCUUCAAAGGGUACCAUAGUGUCUUAGGUGCAUAAGGCUGCAAUUAGUUCUUUGUAGGAGGGACUAAGGCCACGAGUAUUGUAAAUAAGAAGCUCAGCAUCAUUAGAAGGAUCACCAAGAGCAAUGAUUACUACUCAAAAAGUGCUAUUUUAUAGUUGGUAAUUAACUCUUUUAAACACUUUUGAGUAGUAGUUAUUACCUUUUAACUCAAUUGACAUGUUAAGGACCCUUGCAAUCAUUUCUAAUCAAAAUGUGUUAAGUUUUGGUGCUUUUGAUAGCUUUUGGAUCACCAAAGCAAUCUAAGAUUGAGGGAGAGCUCUAUAUAAUCCAUGGCAAAGCAAAUGGAAGCUCAUUUACAUGAAGAAUCCAAGCUUUGGAGCUUUAUAGUCCUUUGCCCAAAGCAAAUCAAGAAUGCAAGGAGGAAAAACAGAGAGAAGAAUCUAACAUGAAGAAAUCCAAGAGGAUAGCAACCAUAGGACACAUUUCGAUCACUUCUUGAGGUCCAUUAUAUUCAUACUAUAUGUUGUUUCGAAGCUCGGGAAGUCAGGAGUCCAACGCUUCAAACUGUAUGCAAAUAAGAGCUAAAAUGAAGAAGUUAUGGCCAUUGGAAGACAACCGCACCAAGCUAAAAGACAAUUUCGCAAGCUACGAAAUCACAAAAUUCAACUUGCGAAAUCAAUAUUUUCUUGCGAAAUGGACACUUUCAGCUUGCGAAAUUUUUGCAAGUCAUGUUUCAACUUGCGAAAUCCACCUGUGUGCUCUAGAUAUUUGCGACCGACUCUUUUAGAUUUUUUUUCUUCUUCAAAUAAUUGUUGUUUAAAUCCCUAUUUUCUCCUUGUAAUCCACCAAUCAUAGGAUUCCUUAGUUAGGAAGCAAGAAGAAAGGGUGAAUAACCUUUUUAUAUAAUCUAUUGUAAUUUUCUUUUAAAAGGGGAUCUCAGGAGUUUGUUCUCGGAGACCAACUUUUGUAUAGUUUUGAAGAAAGUAAUACAUAGAGCGUUGCUCUACCUUACCUACUCAUUUUGAUUGUAUUUUUUUCACUAGCCAAACAAGCUCUGAGGAUGUUUCCUCAGAGAAUGAGUGGCUAGGCUUUUUGUCUCUUGGAGUGAAGGAAGCUGGGUAAGGUGCCGAAUGCAAAAUUGGAAGUUUUGUUGUUUCAGCUUUUAAUGAAGAGAAAGUAUGACCCGUUAAUGGUUUUUAUGUUUUUAGUUAACUUAAAAGGCCUUAAAAUCACCUGGGCCAACACUUGGUAAGGCAAGUGGUCUCCGUCCAUUGAGAUACACUAGUUUAUUUCUUGCGAGCCUUUGGGAGGUGGUUUAAAGGUAGGAUUUUCUAGAAUAGCCAACACUUGGUAAACUUUUGAACUUCAAGGAAACAUCCAUUAGUUAUCUCUUGCGAGCUUCUGACGGAUAAUCCAAGGUUAAGAAUCACCUUGAAUGGCCAAUACUAGGUGAGAGGUAUGAACCAUUGCAAGAUGAUUCAGUGACAGGGAAUUAGUGUUUGAAUCCAUAAAAGGGAAACAUCUAUACCACACCAGUUCGGGAAAUAACUAUAGGUUAAAUCCCCAAUGCGAGGAAAAUAUUCAAGUGACCGGAACUCUCUUAUUGUAAUAGGAAGCUGAGCCUAGUGAUCCAAAAACUCCAAGAAACACUUUUCUUUGUAAGUAAUUUUCGUUACUUUAUCGGUUUUACUUUAAAACCAACCUUUUCAAACAUCUUUAUGUUUUCUUUUAAAGCUAACUGUGGACCUGCAUUUUUCACGUGCGUCCCCACUCGAUCGGCGAGACUCGCUUUUUAUUUGUGAAAAAAUAAUUUUUGGAAAAGUCGAAGUUGCCACUUAUUUUAUUUUUAUUUUAAAAGGGAAAAUAAAACCCUAAAAAAAUGCCUCCAUAAUUUUUGGAAUUGCGUGUCUUUGAAAAACCCGAGUCUAAGUCCGGGGAUUAGGUUACUUAUUGGGAAGCUACCUCUAGGAGGUAGCACCCCUCUAAGCCCUAAAGAGGUCUUUACUGACUAAAUUGGGGAAAUGGGGCAAUUAAUUGAUUAAUUUUAGAUACCUAAGUAAGGUAGGUGAUUUCAGAAAGUAGCAUGCUAAAUAAGGACAUCAAUCACAAUAAAGGAGAGUUAAGGUGCGUACCUGAACCACUUCUUAAGUGCUAUCAUAAAACAUGAAUGGUUAAUUCAGAAAUAUGACACACGACAUGCAUUUUAUCAAGGAUGAUCAAACAAGCAUCGAGACAAUCAAGUAUGGCAUCAAACAAGGGCAAUGACAUGCAUAUUCAUGAAAUUUUGGGAACGUACCUGGAUAGCAUAUAUAACUCCUAAUGCGCUUUCUCAGGACAUGGGGGUUAGAUAAUAAAUAAUAAAUAAUAAAUCCUAGCAUGCUUAUCUAAUUAAUUAGAAAAAAUUAUCAGAAUACAGAAUAAUUAAUUAUCAUACAUAUCUUAUAUACAAUUCCUAAAAAGAAAAAUGUAAAUAUAAUUACAAUGAAUAGUAGAAUGGUAGCAAAAUAAAUUUUGAAAAAGAUUUUCUUAUGUAGGGGUUUCACCAAUUCCCCAAAUUAAUAUACAUGAAUUUAGCCUAAAAUUGUCCCAUUUAUUUGGGACCACAAGCUUUGAUUCGCGUUUUGUUUAAAACCAAAAUUUUUGUUGAAAAUUGAGAAUGAUGCAAACCGAUUAAGAUAUGGUUGCAUGUUAUUUUUUAAAUAGAAAAGAGAUUUUGAUUCUAGAGGCUUUAAAUGAGUAAUAAAAAAUAAAUAAAUUCUUAAAAGGUUUUUUUUUUUGAGAAAAAGAGUUUUGUUUUAAAAUAAAAGAAAUUAACUUUUAAAAUAACAAAAAUAGUUAAAAUAGCAAAAAUAGAAAACAAAAUAUCAAUCCAAACAAAAGGAAAUAAAGGUCACAAAAUAAAGAUUUUAAAAGAUCUUGUCAAUUAAAGUGGUGAGAGAAAAGACCAACCUUCAUGGGUUUCCAGUGGCCCUAAAAAAAAUUUGACCAACAAUCACUAAGACAACAAAUUUAUGACUUCCUAAUCAAACAAACUAACAAAAUUAUCAUCCAACAACUAACAUUUAGAUUUUAAGAAACACAUGAAUAACUAGAAUUAAACUAAUUGGAAUUAAAAACAUAAACUUUUCCUCACAAGAUCAAUUAAACUAAAGAAUUAAGAUCGAUAACACGUUCAAAUUAAAAAUAAACUAGAAUUUAAAUUAAUCGGAAUUAAAAAUAUAAACUUUACCUUACAAGUCCAAUUAAACUAAUAGAUUUAAGAUCAAUAACUCAUUCAAAUUAAAAAUAAACUAGAAUUUAAACUAAUCAGAAUUAAAAAUAUAAACUUUACCUUACAAGACCAAUUAAACUAAUAGAUUUAAGAUCAAUAACUCAUUCAAAUUAAAAAUAAACUAGAAUUUAAACUAAUCGGAAUUAAAAAUAUAAACUUUACCUUACAAGUCCAAUUAAACUAAUAGAUUUAAGAUCAAUAACUCAUUCAAAUUAAAAAUAAACUAGAAUUUAAACUAAUCGGAAUUAAAAAUAUAAACUUUACCUUACAAGUCCAAUUAAACUAAUAGAUUUAAGAUCAAUAACUCAUUCAAAUUAAAAAUAAACUAGAAUUUAAACUAAUCAGAAUUAAAAAUAUAAACUUUACCUUACAAGUCCAAUUAAACUAAUAGAUUUAAGAUCAAUAACUCAUUCAAAUUAAAAAUAAACUAGAAUUUAAACUAAUCGGAAUUAAAAAUAUAAACUUUACCUUACAAGUCCAAUUAAACUAAUAGAUUUAAGAUUAAUAACUCAUUCAAAUUAAAAAUAAACUAGAAUUUAAACUAAUCGGAAUUAAAAAUAUAAACUUUACCUUACAAGUCCAAUUAAACUAAUAGAUUUAAGAUCAAUAACUCAUUCAAAUUAAAAAUAAACUAGAAUUCAAAUUAAUCGGAAUUAAAAAUAUAAACUUUACCAUAUAAGUCCAAUUAAACUAAUAGAUUUAAGAUCAAUAACUCAUUCAAAUUAAAAAUAAACUAGAAUUUAAACUAAUCGGAAUUAAAAAUAUAAACUUUAUUUAAACUUUCAUGUAGAUUAAAAUAAACUAGCAUAGAACUAAUGAAUUGCAAUCAUAAAAGAGAGACAUUUAAUCUAAGAAAAAUAAAAGAUUAUUCGAAAUCGAGAUUUAAAAGAAUUUAUCACAAACAAUUAAUUAAACCAAUCAACUAAAACCCAAACUAAAAAAAGAAAUACUGUAUCAAAAAUCAAAAACUAACCUGUAUUGUAUCGGAAAAAUACUUUCUUGAUGUGUCGAAAUGGCAGCCCAAUUAGUCUUUCAAGUCCUCUACCGCUCCUCCCAAAAAACUCUUGCGUGUGUUGAUCUCCUCUCAAAGAAAAAGUCUCAUUGGCAAAGAAAAAGUCCCACCGUCCUUCCUUCUAUUCCUCUUUGUCCUGUUUAUAUGGCAACCUAUCAUUUUCAUGGAAUAUUUUAUUUCCUUUUGGGAUAUGUACGUGGAUAUAUGGAAAGUGAUGUUUUAAUUGCAAAGUGGUAUUUUAACUUUUAUGGAAAGUGGUUUUCUAUUUUAUAUACAUCAUAAUUCAAAAAUAAAAAUAAAUAAAUAAAUAAAUAAAAUAUUAACAAACCUUUUUAAAGGUAAUAAUAAUAAUAAUAACUUAUCAAAUUGGUAUAAACAAAUAUAUAUAUAUAUAUAUAUAUAUAUAUAUAUAUAUAUUAAAAAACUUAACUUACCAAAAAAUAUAUUAAAAACACUUUAAGAAAAUAACCAAAUAAAAUAAAAUAAAAUACAAAAUAACUUACUAAAAAAAAUUAUUAACGUACAUAUUAGUAAAAACAUUUAAUAGUAAUAAUAAUAGUAAUCAUAAAAAGAGAUAAGAUAAUUGAUCACAUGCAAUCUUGUAAAAACAAAUAAAUAGAUAACAAUAAACAAAUAGCUAAACAAAUAUAAUAAAUAAAUAACUAAAUAAAUAAAUAGAUAAAUGAAUAAGAAAUCAAGCUCAUGCAAGUGUUAAGAAAUACAAAUCAUGCGAACUAUGCAAGUCAUACAUGAGUUAUCUAAAAGGUAACAUAGGUGGGCCAGGAUGCUUAAGUGGACCUAGCAAACCAAAGUGGGCCUAGAUGUGCCUAAAUGAGCUUAGGUGAGUCUAAGUGGGUUAAAGUGGACCUAAGUGAGCUUAGGUGAAUCUAAGUGGGUCAAGGUGGACUUAAGUGGGCUAGGUGUAGCUAAGUGGGCCUAGGGUGAGACUAGGUGGGCCUAACUAAGUCUAACCUGAAGUGCACUUAAGUGAAGUCUAAUCUAAACUUGAAGGGCAGCCAAGGUCAUAAUGUGGAGCCGGGUAAACCCCUCAACUAAAGUCUCCGAGGUGGCUCAAGAAAGGUAAGUAGCGUGAGUAGCUAUGGGCUACCAAGAGAUUACUAUAAAGUAUUGGUAAUGGACUUUAAAACAUGUGCUAAGGGGACAAAAUUGAGGGUCUAUACUAACCUUGAAAUGAAAAAACACCAAUUUAAAUUAAUAUCAGUUGUAAUUUGAAAACCCAUCCUAGUGAAGGAUCCUAGAGCCUACUAUGCUAGCUGAGGCUAUCCUAGUACAUGGUGAAAUAGGUUUAUAAAUUUUGUUGAUUACUCCCGUUUGAUGACCGAAAUCAAAGUAUACCAGUUGAUUGAACACCAAUUAACAAGACAUACACCAGCUGGGCACGAAUCAAAUGGUGUCGUUGCUUGGGAUGGUGCCAACUUUACAGUGAUAUCAUCUUUUUAGAGAACUUGUGAUCUUCAUCACAAGUUUGGUGAUUUUUCUUUCAUUUUACUAACUCUUUUUAUUUGUUUAUUUUUCCUUGUUCAUAUUUUAGCAUAUCUUUUAAUUUAGUUUUAGUUAAUCUUAGUCUUUUUGUAGUUUUGUUUUCUUUUGUUUCUUUGUUUUUGUUACAGUUGUUACUAGUUGUGUAUGCCAUAUUGGAUACGGGACAGUGGAGGAAGACUUGUGAAAAUUGAAACACCUCAUAAAACGGAGUUGGAAUUGUGCUUGAACAUCAUGGAAGUUACACUUGAAGAUCAGCAUAGUCACCAUAGUCACCAGGACAAUCCCAAUGCAUUCAGAUCAAUGAGGGACCGCAUGCAUCCACCUCAUAUGAAUGCACCAUCAUGUAUAGUGCCUCCUACAGAGCAGCUAGUAAUUAGACCGCAUAUUGUUUCGCUUCUACCUACUUUCCAUAGGAUGGAAAGUGAGAAUCCCUAUGCACAUAUCAAGGAAUUUGAAGAUGUUUGUAAUGCAUUCCAAGAGGGAGGAGCUUCAAUCGACUUGAUGAGGCUAAUGCUAUUUCCUUUUACUUUAAAGGAUAAGGCUAAGAUUUGACUUAAUUCUUUAAGGCCAAGGAGUAUCCAAACUUGGAUUGAUUUGCAAGCUGAAUUUCUCAGGAAAUUUUUCCUACUCAUAGGGCAAAUGGCUUGAAAAGACAAAUUUCAAACUUCUCAGCUAAAGAGAAUGAGAAAUUCUAUGAGUGUUAAGAGAGAUACAUGGAAGUCAUCAAUGCUUGUCCUCACUAUGGUUUUGAUACAUGGCUAUUGGUGAGUUACUUUUAUGACGGAAUGUCUUCCUCAAUGAAGCAACUUCUCGAGACUAUGUGUGGAGGAGAUUUCAUGAGUAAGAAUCCGGAGGAAGCCAUGAACUUCUUGAGUUAUGUGGCCGAAGUUUCAAGGGAAUGGGAUGAACCAAACAAAGGAGAAGUGUGGAAGACGAAGUCUCAACCAAAUGCCUUUAAUGCUAAGGCUGGGAUGUAUACCUUGAAUGAAGAUAUUGACAUGAAAGCAAAAGUUGCAGCUAUGACAAGAAGAUUGGAGGAGCUAGAACUGAAAAAAAUAUGUGAAGUGCAAGUCAUUGCUAAAACAUUAGUGUAAGUCAUGCCAUGUCCUAUUUGUCAAUCUUAUGAGCACUUGGUGGAUGAGUGUCCUACAAUUCCAGCUGUGAGGGAAAUGUUUGGAGAUCAAGCAAAUGUCAUUGAACAAUUCAAGCCCAACAACAAUGCUUCAUAUGGUAAUACCUACAACUCAAAUUGGAGGAACCAUCCAAAUUUCUCCUGGAAGCUAAGAGCACCUCAGUAUACACAGCCAGGCCAAACAUCUCAACAAGCUUCAAAUCUUGAACAAGCAAUAGUGAAUCUAAGCAAGGUCAUGUGAGACUUUGUUGGAGAUCAGAAAUCCAUCAAUGCUAAACUCAAUCAAAGAAUUGAUAGUGUAGGGAAUACAUUGAAUAAAAUGAUGGAUGGAAUGCAAAAUGAUUUAUCUCAGAAGAUAGACAAUCUCUAAUACUCAAUCUCAAGGCUCACUAACCUUAACACAGUGCAAGAGAAAGAGAGAUUUCCUUCUCAACCUCACCAAAACCCCAAGGGUAUCCAUGAAGUGGAAGCUCAUGAGGGAGAGUCUUCACAAGUGAGAGACAUCAAAGCCUUGAUCACUCUAAGGAGUAGUAAAAAUGUUGAACUGCCAACACCCAAGCCACAUGUUGAGAAAGAGGAGGAAGAAGAAGAGACAGAGAAAAGAGAGAAAAUCAAAGGAAAGAAGAAAGAUAGCAGUGAAAGGAAAGAGGACCAUGAUUCAACAGUGAAUGAAAAUCCGGAGAAAGUAGUUAUCAAGGGAGAUGUGAUAAAGAAACACACACCUCUACAUUUUCCUCAAGCUUUGCGUGGGAAAAAGGGAAUCAGAAAUGCAUCAGAAAUUCUUAAAGUAUUGAGACAAGUGAAGGUCAACAUUCCAUUGCUAUAUAUGAUUAAACAAGUGCCAACUUAUGCAAAAUUCCUAAAGGACUUGUGUACUAUCAAAAGAGGGUUGAAUGUGAAUAAGAAAGCUUUCUUGACUGAGCAAGUAAGUGCUAUCAUACAGUGCAAGUCUCCAUUGAAGUGCAAAGAUCUGGGUUGCCCUACCAUCUCAGUCAUGAUUGGAGGAACUGUAGUGGAGAAAGCUUUGUUAGACUUGGGAGCAAGUGUGAAUUUGCUACCAUACUCUGUCUACAAGCAAUUGGGACUUGGUGAAUUGAAGCCAACAUCAAUCACUCUAUCUCUAGCAGAUAGAUCAGUGAAAAUUCCAAGAGGGAUAAUUGAAGCUGUCUUGGUUCAAGUUGACAAUUUCUACUAUCUAGUAGACUUUGUUGUUCUUGACACAGAUCCAAUUGUUAAGGAAACUAAUUAUGUUCCUAUCAUACUUGGAAGGCCAUUCCUAGCUACAUCAAACGCAAUAAUAAAUUGUAGGAAUGGACUCAUGCAACUCACAUUUGGCAACAGGACAUUAGAGCUCAAUAUCUUCUAUAUGUCCAAAAAGCUAAUCACUCUAGAAGAAAAGGAAGGUCCAAAAGAGGUGUGCAUUAUUAACACUCUAGUGGAGGAGCAUUGUAAUCAGAAAAUGCAAGAGAAGUUGAAUGAAAGUCUUGGGGAUCUUGAAGAAGGGUUGACUGAACCCUCAGAUUUGCUUGCUACUCUACAAGGUUGGAGGAGGAUAGAAGAAAUUCUACCUUUGUUCAAUAAAGGGGAGACACAAGAAGCUGCUAAAGAGGAGACCCCAAAGCUUAAUCUGAAGCCCCUACCCACGGAGUUGAAGUAUACAUACCUAGAAGAGAAUAAAAAGGGCCUUGUUGUUAUAUCUUCAUCUCUUACUACUCCUCAGGAGGUGUGUUUACUUGAAGUUCUCAAGAGAUGUAAGAAAGCAAUAGGAUGACAAAUAUAUGAAUUGAAAGGCAUCAGUCCUUUGGUCUGUACACAUCAUAUAUACAUGGAAGAAGAAGUUAAGCCAAUUUGUCAACCUCAAAGAAGAUUGAAUCCUCAUAUGCAAGAGGUGGUGCAAACUGAGGUUCUUAAGCUACUUCAAGCAGGUAUUAUCUACCCCAUAUUAGAUAACCCAUGGGUGAGUCUUACUCAAGUAGUAUCAAAGAAUUCAGGGAUUACAGUUGGAGUGUGUGUAUUUAUUAUAGAAAAUUAAAUGUUGUGACAAGGAAGGAUCAUUUUCCAUUUCCAUUUAUUGGUCAAGUGUUGGAGAGAGUCUCAGGCUAUCCUUUCUAUUGUUUAUUGGACAGCUAUUCCAGGUAUUUUCAAAUAGAAAUCGAUGUUGAAGACCAGGAGAAGACCACUUUCACAUGUCCAUUUAGAACAUAUGCCUAUAGAAGAAUGCUUUUUGGUUUAUGCAAUGCACCUGCAACGUUCCAACGAUGUAUGUUAAGUAUUUUUAGUGAUAUGGUGGAGCGAAUUAUAGAGGUUUUUAUGGAUGACAUCACCAUAUAUGGAAGUACAUUUGAAGAAUGCUUGGUUAACUUAGAAGUGGUUCUGAACAUAUGCAUUGAAAAAGACUUGGUGCUUAAUUGGGAGAAAUGAUAUUUUAUGGUACAACAAGGAAUUGUCCUUGGCCACAUCAUCUCAAAGAAAGACAUUGAAGUUGAUAAAGCAAAUGUGGAACUUAUUAUCAAAUUGCCACCCCCAACAACUAUAAAAAGAGUAAGGCAAUUCCUUGGCCAUGCAGGGUUUUACAAGAGGUUUAUAAAAGAUUUCUCAAAACUUUCAAAGCCUCUUUGUGAACUAUUAGGUAAGGAUGCUAAAUUUGUAUGGGAUGAGAGAUGUCAAAGAAGUUUUGAGCAACUGAAGCAAUUCUUGACAACCGCUCUAAUAGUAAGGGCUCUUAAUUGGCAACUACCUUUUGAAGUGAUGUGUGAUGCCAGUGACUUUGCUAUAGGAGUUGUUCUUGGUCAAAAAGAGGAUGGAAAGCCCUAUGUGAUCUACUAUGCAAGCAAAACAUUGAACGAAGCACGAAUGAACUACACAACCAUAGAGAAAGAAUUGUUAGCUGUAGUGUUUGCCUUAGACAAAUUUCGUGCUUAUCUAGUAGGGUCUUUCAUUGUGGUUUUCACUGACCAUUUAGCCUUGAAGUAUUUAUUGACAAAGAAAGAUGCAAAAGCAAGGUUGAUUAGAUGGAUUCUCUUACUACAAGAGUUCAAUCUCCAAAUCAAAGAUAAAAAAGGAAUGGAGAAUGUGGUAGCUGACCACCUUUCAAGGUUGGCUAUAGCACAUAAUUCCCAUGUUUUACCUAUUAAUGAUGACUUUCCAGAGGAAUCACUCAUGUUGCUAGAAAAUGCUCCUUGAUAUGCUCAUAUUGCUAACUAUCUAGUUACUGGUGAAGUUCCAAGUGAGUGGAAAGCAUAAGAUAAGAAGCACUUCUUUGUAAAGAUUUAUGUCUACUAUUGGGAAGAAUAUUUUCUUUUCAAGUAUUGUACAAAUCAAAUAAUAAGGAAGUGUGUCCUUGAAGAAGAGCAACAAGGAAUCCUCAGUCAUUGCCAUGAAAGUGCAUGUGGAGGCCACUUUGCCUCUCAGAAAACAGCCAUGAAGGUGUUGCAAUUAGGUUUCAGUUGGCCAUCACUUUUCAAAGAUGCCCAUACCAUGUGUAGGAGUUGUGAUAGAUGCCAAAGGCUUGGAAAGCUGACACGAAGAAAUCAAAUGCCUAUGAACCCCAUUUUAAUAGUUGAUCUCUUUGAUGUUUGGGACAUUGACUUCAUGAGACAUUUCCCAAUGUCUUUUGGUAACUCUUACAUUUUGGUGGGGAUAGACUAUGUUUCUAAAUGGGUUGAGGCAAUCCCAUGUAAACACAAUGAUCACAAAGUUGUUCUCAAGUUUCUCAAAGAGAACAUUUUCUCAAGAUUUGGGGUGCCCAAGGCCAUAAUCAGUGAUGAGGGUACUCAUUUUUGCAACAAGCCUUUUGAAACUCUUUUAGCCAAGUAUGGAGUGAAGCAUAAGGUAGCUACACCUUAUCACCCUCAAACUUCCAGGCAAGUUGAGUUGGCAAACAGGGAAAUCAAGAAUAUAUUGAUGAAUGUGGUGAACACGAGCAAAAGAGAUUGGUCUGUUAAGCUCCAUGAUUCACUAUGGGCAUAUAGAACAGCUUACAAGACUAUUCUUGGCAUGUCUCCUUAUCGCCUAGUCUAUGGCGAAGCAUGUCAUCUCCCUGUGGAAGUUGAAUAUAAGGCUUGGUGGGCAAUUAAGAAGGUAAACAUGGACUUGACCAGAGCAGGGAUAAAGAGGUGCUUAAACCUUAAUGAGAUGGAGGAAUUAAGAAAUGAUGCCUACAUCAAUUCCAAAGUUGCAAAAGAGAGGAUGAAGAGGUGGCAUGACCAGUUAAUCUCUAACAAAGAAUUUCGAAAGGGACAAAGAGUCUUACUCUAUGACUCUAAGCUCCGUAUCUUUCUUGGAAAGCUAAAGUCAAGGUGGAUAGGCUCUUUCAUUAUUCACCAAGUGCAUCUCAAUGGAGUGGUGGGACUACUAAAUUCCAACAGCACGGACACUUUCAAAGUCAAUGGCCACCGUAUCAAACCAUUCAUGGAGCCAUUCAAUCAAGACAAGGAGGAAGUCAGCCUCCUUGAGCCAUAGAAAUCCUAACCAAAAAGGAAUUAGAUGGACUUAGUAUUUUUGAAGACUAAUCAAAGUCCAUGUUUUUGUUUUAAUUUUGUUAAUUUAAAAGCUUUAUUAAUUGUUUUAAUUUUGAUCUUAGCUUUGAUUUAUUUUAUUUUGACAUAACUUAAACUUUUUGAAUGAUUAAAAUCAUGAGGAAUUUCAAAAGAAGUGGAGGGAAGCCAUAGAGAACCAAAGAAGGAGAAAAACAGAGGAAUUUAUUUUACUUGCGAAAAUUUCGCAAGCAAAAGGGCCAAGUUGCGAAAAUGAGGUCAUCCUGUGAAAAAAUUUCACAAGCUGAAGAGCGAAGUUGAGAAAAUUUUCGCAGCUGCGAACCACCCUCCAGGCACACGUGUGCCAUUUCAUAGCCUUCAAAGCCUCCCCAAAGCAAAAUUUCGAAUGUUCAGGCUCCAAGUUGCAAAAAAUUUCGCAGCUGCGAACCACCCUCCAAGCACACGUGUGCCAUUUCGCACUCUCAAAACCCAAUUUCGCAACUGCGAAAUGAGUUGCGAAUUCGCCUGCAAAAUCUCCAUCAAGCUGCGAAAUGGCCCUCAAGCUGUGAAAAUGUCAAUCGUCAUUUGAAUACCUAUUUAAGCCUCUAAUUUCCUAAAUUUUUAUUUCACACAGCUAUUUUAACCUGCGAAAAACCUCUUCAAGUUGUGAAACUCAAGAAUAUUAGAGGACCCUCUCCAAAGGAAGUCUAGAGGACGUGCGUUUGAAGAAAAACACCCUGCGCACCUCCACCUACCCUCUAAAACCUCUCCACUUCAACCAUGGCCAAAACGAGAGGAGCCAAGACCCCAUCUCCAUCAGCCCACAACAUUAGACCGAGAGCCUCACCUAUGCGAGACUCCAUGACUGAGGCUCCAUAGUCUCCCGUCAUGCCACAUUCCGAGAAUGGAGCGCCGCCUAGUCCUCCUCAACGAAGAUAUCAGACUAGGAGACCACCCACUACACCAGGGGCAAGCUCUUCACGCCCUAAGAAGUUAGUUAGUCGCCCUCCUACGAAGAAAGCCAAAGUCUCAAGUCUAGUAGAGCCAUCAAAGCCUCCACAGCCUCAGCCACCUACGACAGAGUCUCAGAUUCCUUAUGGGAUGACUCCGAAUGUAAUUAUUAGGCGACCUACGGUUACUCAGCCACCCAUAGAGGGAAAUUUGGAUUGCCGGGCUAGGCCAUUCCACUCUGAGCUAUGUUUGGAUAAAGAGACUUUCAAACACCAGCCGGAGCUCAGAAAUUCAUUCCACCUACUGCAGAGGUACCAUUUGGAGCACCUGAUGACUCCAAGGGAUUUCUUCUAUCCCCGAGUAGCAUUAGACUUUUAUCAAUCUAUGACUACGCAUCACAUCCGGGAUCCUACUAUCAUCCACUUCACUAUUGAUGGACGUCAUGGUAUCUUAGGAGCCAAACACAUUGCAGAGGCCCUGUACAUUCCAUAUGAGCCUGUGAGUCCAGCAGAUUACAGAGAGUGGGCUCAUCUUUCUCAAAGCGAUAUGGUCCGUAUAUUGUCCAGGGGGACAUCCACACGCUCGUUUCUUUUGAGAAAGGAGCUUCCGCCCAGCAUGUUUCUUCUGGAUGUGCUCUUACGCUCCAACAUAUUUCCACUUCAACAUAUGGUGCAAAGGAGGGGAGUUAUACUAGAGGCCUUGUUCAAGAUAUCAGAGGGUUUUUACUUUGGCCCUCAUCAUUUGAUCAUGACCGUUCUUCUUUACUUUGAAGAGAAGGUCCAUAGAAAGAAGCUACAGAGAGUAGAUGUCAUUCCAUUGCUUUUCCCUAGGCUGCUCUGUUAGAUAUUAAAGCAUUUGGGCUAUCCUUCUAAGCCUCAGCUUGAAUGUAGACGCAUUUGUUGAGAGAUAUUCACUCUCGACAAAUGGACUAAUAUGACGGCUUAUGUUGCACAUCCAGGAGCCCCAGCUAGACCAGAGCAUCCAGAGAUACCACAGGACGAGUAGCCACAGCAGGUACAGCAGGCUGAGAUACCUACGGAGAUCAUAGCACCUGCCUCUACAGCGCCUUCUACAGUGCUCACGCCUGAGGCUACAUCUUCUACUCCUCCUACCACUUCUGGGACUCCGCCAGUUGUACAAACUACAUCCGCUCCUCAUCCAUCUGAGUCUAGUAUCACCAUAUCCAUUUUAGAGUUCAUAGGCCUAUGUCAUACAUUGCAGACAUUGAUCGCUACUUAAAGCGUCCUUACCCAGCAGAUGGCAGCCGUACGUGCACAUCAGGAUCAACUUAUUGCCACCCAAACCCAUCAUACUGUCAUCAUUAGGCAGAUACAGCAGCAUUUGGGUAUUUUAUCGCCACUUAAGCAUGAUAUGGAUGGUCCAUCAGAGCCAACAGAUCCAUCCCAGGACACUCCUCCAACAGAGCAGACUAUGCCCCAUGAGGACACUACUACAGGAGAGAUCGAGACACCGAUCCCGAGCACUCAGACUUCCACAGCCGAGCCAUCGUCUCCACACGAUCCUCCCACCACUACCUGAUCAUCUAUCUACCUUUUUGUAUUUACUUAUUAUAGUAGAACUCGUAAUCCCAUGUUUUUGAUGUUUUAUAUACUGGGAUUGGAUGUAUUACUUGUUCAUAGUUCAUAUUGUACUUUCUUAAAGUAAUACAUAUCCAUCAUUUUUUUAGUAUACUUGGCAUAAUAGCAUUUUAUUUCCUUUACUCAUAAUUUUUUUGUUGUUUUUGAAUCAUGUGGUUUCUCCUAUACGACUUAGACUCCAUUUCACUCAGGAGGUACCACUUCUUCCCUGGAUUUUUAAUCGCUUUUGCCACAUUGAGGGCAAUGUUCAGCUUGGUUGGGGGGAAGAGAAAUGAGGAAGGAAGUUUUGCUUUUAAUGCUAAGUUAUUUUGGUAAUUUAAUUGCUUUUGGCUUAAUUUUUAAAAUUUUUAAAAUUUUUAAGUUUUUAUUCUACUUUCCAUGGUUAUUAAGGAAAAUUUUCCAAACUAAAAAAGGAGAAAUUGAAUUUUUUGUCUUUUUACUUGACUUAGAGUUUGUAUCAUGCUUAUUAAAGUUGAUGAAUUAUUGAAACUUAUAUUGAAUUCAACCUUAUUUCUUCCACUUUAAGCUAUUCACACACUGUGCACGUUAGGUUCUGAUUAUAAGAUGAAAAACUAUUUCACCCCCUUGACUUAGGAAAAUUUAGACUUGGUACUUUUAACCUCAUUUAAUAGUGUUGGGACACCUUAUAAAAAGCCAAUGAGCCUUUGAAAAAAAAGAGAAAGAAAGAAAAAAAUGGUUUACUUGCCUUGAUUGGUGCCCUAAGCCUUCAUUGGUUGGGAGUCACUGACCUUAAUGCUCAUUACAAGGGUGAAUAGGUGGAGUUUAAUAUACUAUAAGUGCUUGGGUAUUAAAAUUCUGAGGAGUUAGUAGUUGAAAGAUCCUUAAAGCUUGAUGCCCUAAACCUUAAUUGGUUGGGAGUCAUCGAUGGACCCCCGUUACAUGGACAAUUUAGAAAAGAAUACCUUUAAGCCUUGUACUCCUACAAUGAAAAAAAUUGUGAACCAAGAGGUGCAUUCUUAGCCUAUUGAAGGUUGUCAGUUUGCUAAGUUUUGAAAAAGAACUAGGUUGGGGAAGAGAGAUUAGUUCAACACACUAUAUUCGGAAACUAAUAAGUAACACAGAUUUUUGUGGAAGAGUUAGGAUUGGCCCUUUGAGAGUGGAAAUUAUUUUGAAGCUUAAAUUUGCAUAAUGUCUUCUCUUCAUAAAUUGUGAUUAGAUAAGUUAUUUGAUAACUCUUGUUUAAGUUUGAGUUUUAUAUCUUUAAUGUUCCAUGUGAGAGUUUGUCUAUCAUGCCACUUGAAAUUUUUUUAAAUGAUCAGCAUGAUGUUGUAAAUUAUAGUACUGUUUAUUUUUCUUUUUCUCUCAUUCAUUACUAAAGGACUAGCAAUAUGUCUGUUGGGGGGAGUGAUUACUACUCAAAAAGUGUUAUUUUAUAGUUGGUAAUUAACUCUUUCAAACACUUUUGAGUAGUAGUUAUUACUUUUUAACUCAAUUGACAUGUUAAGGACCCUUGCAAUCAUUUCUAAUCAAAAUGUGUUAAGUUUUGGUGUUUUUGAUAGCUUUCGGAUCACCAAAUCAAUCUAAUAUUGAGGGAGAGCUCUGUAUAAUCCAUGGCAAAGCAAAUGGAAGCUCAUUUACAUAAAGAAUCCAAGCUUUGGAGCUUUGUAGUCCUUUGCCCAAAGCAAAUCAAGAAUGCAAGGAGGAAAAACAGAGAGAGGAAUCUAACAUGAAGAAAUCCAAGAGGACAGCAACUGUAGGACACAUUUUGAUCACUUCUUGAAGUCUAUUAUAUGCAUACUAUAUGUCGUUUCGAAGCUCAGGAAGUCAGGAGUCCAACGCUUUAAACGGUGUGCAAAUCAGAGUUGAAAUGAAGAAGUUAUAGCCAUUGGAAGACAAUUGCACCAAGCUAAAAGACAAUUUUGCAAGCUGCAAAAUCACAAAAUUCAACUUGCGAAAUGGACACUUGCGAAAUUUUCGCAGGUCAUGUUUCAACUUGCGAAAUCCACCUAUGUGCUCCUAGAUAUUUGCGACCCACUCUUUUAGAUUUUUUUCUUCUUCAAAUAUUUGUUGUUUAAAUCCCUAUUUUCUCCUUGUAAUCCACCAAUCAUAGGAUUCCUUAGUUAGGAAGCAAGAAGCAAGGGUGAAUAACCUUUCUAUAUAAUAUAUUGUAAUUUUCUUUUAAAAGAGGAUCUCAGGAGUUUAUUCUCGAAGACCAACUUUUGUAUAGUUUUGAAGAAAGUAAUACACAGAGCGUUGUUCUGCCUUACCUACUCAUUUUGAUUGUAUUUUUCUCACUAGCCAAACAAGCUCUGAGGAUGUUUCCUCAGAGAAGGAGUGGCUAGGCUUUUUGUCUCUUGGAGUCUAGGAAGUUGGGUAAGGUGUCGAAUGCAAAAUUGGAAGUUUUGUUGUUUCAGCUUUUAAUGAAGAGAAAGUGUGACCCGUUAAUGGUUUUUAUGUUUUUAGUUAACUUAAAAAGCCUUAAAAUCACUUGGGCCAACACUUGGUAAGGCAAGUGGUCUCCGUCCAUUGAGAUACACUAGUUUAUCUCUUGCGAGCCUUUAGAAGGUGGUUUAAAAGUAGGAUUUUCUAGAAUAGCCAACACUUGGUAAGCUUUUGGACUUCAAGGAGACAUCCAUUAGUUAUCUCUUGCGAGCUUUUGAUGGAUAAUCCAAGGUUAAAAAUCACCUUGAAUGACCAAUACUAGGUGAGAGGUAUGAACCAUUGCAAGAUGAUUCAGUAAUAGGGAAUUAGGGUUUGAAUCAAUAAAAUGGAAGCAUCUGUACCACACCGGUUCGAGAAAUAACUAUAGGUUAAAUCCCCAAUGCGAGAAAAAGAUUCAAGUGACCUGAACUCUCUUAUUGUAAUAGGAACCUGAACCCAGUGAUAAAAAAAUUCCAAGAAACACUUUUCUUUGUAAGUAAUUUCCAUUACUUUAUCGGUUUCACUUUAAAACCAACCUUUUCAAACAUCUUUAUGUUUUCUUUUAAAGCUAACCUUGAAAUGAAAAAACACCAAUUCAGCUUUGAAUUAAUAUCAGUUGUAAUUUGAAAACUCAUCUCAGUGAACGAUCUUAGAGCCACUAUGCUAUGCUAGUUGAGGCUAUCCUAGUACAUGGUGAAAUAGGUUUAUAAAUUUUGUUGAUUACUCCGAUCUGAGGACCGAAAUCAAGGUACACCAGUUGAUUGAACACCAAUCAACAGGACAUACACCAGCUGGGCACGAAUCAAGCAAUCAAUUCAUUAGUUAUUCACUUAAUGGAGAUAAGGAAAUCGGUAAUUGAGGAGGAACCUAUAAUGACUAGAUAAUUUAGGCCACGUUAGAAUUUCUAGUUUGUAAAGUCUUCUAUUGAAUGGUGGUUGAAAAGUAAAAAAAAAAAAUGAUUGGAGAACAUGUGUUAAUUUUGGAUUGGCGGAAUACGAAAUAUUUUAUUGGUCAAUUAAGCGAGUUGAAUUUUUUUUUUGUCACGUUAGCUUUAUGGUAUAAAAUUUCUUAGAAUCGUAGAAAUUGAAAAUUUUCGAAAACAAAAAAAAAUGAAAAAUGAAUUAAUUAAAAAUAACUAGAACUAAUUAAGAAAAAAUUAAAUUAAUUAAAAAUAACUAGAACUAAUUAAGAAAAAAUUAAAUUAAUUUGAUUAAUAAUAAAUUUGAGAAUAUUAAAAUUUUUGGUUUAUUUUGUGUGUUGUUAAAAAAAAUGAAAAUGAAGUGAAAUGAAAAAUGAAUUAAGAAAAGAAAGUGAAAAUAAUUGAAAAAAAAAAACAAAAGAAAUAACAAAUUCAUAAGGCUUUUGAAUGGUGUUAGGCCAUAGGCCAUUUGGUGGCUAGGAGGCUUAAAGGCAAAAUGAAUAAGAAAUGAAAAAGGAAAAAUGAGAAUAAAAAGAAAAGGUUUUGCAAUGGUUGUCGGGGUGUAGGGGGAGAAUCACAGUGUCGUUACCUUUGGCCGAUUAUUUGGACGGCCAAAUGUCGUCCUUUUCACGUGAAAUUUUGAGGAAAAUUUCUACUCAACGCAAGGAACAUUCUUACGAUGGCUAAUUUUGUUUUCAACAGUUUGAUUGUUAGAUAUGUGGUAGGGAAACUUAACCCUAAAACUUUGAUUUAAUGCACUUUUCUUUAAAAAAAAAAAAUUAUAAAUCUCAUUGUUGGAAGGUAAAUAAGGAAUAUUUAUGAUGCGAGAAAGUUUAUUGGGUGAUUUAGGAAUUUCCAUGGGAUUUUUGUGUGAUAACGAAAGUGUUUAAUCAUGGAAAAUAAUUAUGUUUGACUAUUGGAAUUGUUAGGAUUGUUGAGAAAAUAAUGGAAUGUUGGUGGAAAUCAUGCUUAAGUGAUGUUUGAAUUAUUAGAAAUUUAUUUGGUUGUUUUUGGUAAUUUUAUUAUGGAGAAAAUAAUUAUAUUUGAUUAUUGAAAUUAUUGACUUUGUGGAAAAAUUAUGGAAUUUUGGUAUAUAUUAUGUUCAAUUGAGAUUUGAAUUAUUAGAAAUUUAUUUAGUUGUUUUGGUAAUUUUGUAGUGGAGAAAGUAAUUAUAUUUGAUUAUUGAAAUUAUUGAGGUUGUUGGAAAAUUAUGAAAUUUUGGUAUGAUUGUAAUUUCAAUUAUAUUUGGACUAGUUGGAAAUUUUUUAUUUGAUAUUGUGAUAUUUGUGAAUGGGGAUAAUUAACCUCAUUGCAUUUCAUUUGCAUCAUGGUUGUAUGAAGGAAAAAUAAAAAUUGAAAAAAGUGCAUGAAAUGGAAAAAGUAAAGGCAUGUGUGAGGUGAAUUAAGAAGGGAGAAGGAUCCCUUGGAUGAAAAACCUAAAAAUUUGCCCUAGGAAGACUCUGAAUAGGGAGUGUAUUUGGGUACAGACGCGUAUCCUUCGGUGAAAGCCCAAUAACAACAGUACAUUGUAUGACUGUGUGUCACAUAUACAUAUGCAUUUUAUUUAAUUGUUGAAAAUUGUGGAAUUGUUAUAAUUAUAGAGAUUAAAAUAUGUAGGUUAAUCAAUGCUAAUGGAAUGUUUCUUUUGUGUUCAUUUGAAACUUAGUAAUCCUAAUUAACCCCUUAGGUGUAAGGCACCCUACUAAGCAAUGUGGAACGCUCACCCCUUCCUUUUUAUAUCUUUUUAGAUGCAGAUGUGACUCCUGAGGAUCCACAGAUGGGGCAAGGAGGGCUUCAGGAUGCCCUAAGAGAUCUUGGAGCAACCUAGUAGAUUGUAGCGUAUUUGUUAUGUUGGUUUGUUUUGGGACUUGUAUUAACGAACUUUGAAACUAUAUUUUUGUAAUGAGACUUUAUUCUAAUUAAUUUGCUCAAAUGUAAACUCUUAUUUCUAGACUUUAAUGAUAAUUAUUAUAUCUUGUUGCUCUUGAGUAGUGGUUGGUAUAUUGUUAAAUUGGAUUGUUAGUUGGAGGGAGCUCUAGUGUGAUAUAUGUGUAGAAAAAAAAAAUUAAAGCGUUUUGGUUGACUACCGGUGUGGAUUAGAAAGAACCCUUAGUGUCAAAUCUUUGACUUGGGGUCAUGAGCCAAAUUCUAGGUCGCCCGAAAUUUGGGUCAUGAUAGAAACACGAGUCACCAAAGAAAACUUAUCCUUCAGAUAAAUGAGAAGAAAGUGUGAGCGCUUGUCGUAGAGACAUGAGAGACGAGACCAGGCAUCAUGAUUGAACGUUGCAGACGAUACCAAAGAAAUAACAUAUUCACUUAUGGAAGCGAGAAUUGCAUGAAGAAUGAGGUGAUCUUGACGCUACCAUAGUGUGUAAUCUGGAUUGGGGAGAGACUGUCCACUACUAUCGAUCGUUACUAGUGGACACUUGAAAGAGCCAUCUAGAUAACCAAGAAGAUCCAUACCAAAAAAGAAAACAUGAAACUGAGCUUUCUAGGAGAAAUAAUUAAGAGAGGUAAGUUUAAGAGGUAAUUGGGUUGUAGCAUUAAUGGUAAUGAAAUUGUGAGCAGGGUUCAGUGGGAUGAGAGCAAAGGGUUGAGUAAGAUUAUCAGAAGAAUCAGAAGCCAUUGUGAUUAAAAGAAAAAAAAAACACACUCAUUAGAGUAAGGGCUCUGAUACCAUAACAGGUUUGAUGAAAUGAAUAUUAUGAUUUCUUAUUUUCUUUGUUGGACAUUGAGAAUACAUAUAUACAUGAUGAUAAAAACUGUAGACUGUAUAUACAAGAGAUCUUAAACAAAUAUUUGAAUUUUAAAAUAGUUGUUACAACUAACCGAUGGCCAGAUUGUGUAGAGUUGAUGAAGAAGUUGUAUUGACCGAGUUUGAUGGUGAAGUUGAAUUUGAAGUUUCUCUAACAAAUGUCAGUUACCAUUGUGAGAGAUAUCGAAAAACUUUGAAAGCAUGGAAGCUACGUAUUCCCUCAAAAAAUAUGAUAGUUAACCUCAUGACAAAAGGAUUGUAAAAAAAAAAACUUUGGAAAUGGUGAAAUUAAAAUUUACCUUAGUAAGCUAAUAAACCACAAGAUAAGUUAUCAUAACAAGUUUAUGAUAAAAAAAAAUAACAUAAAUAUUAGAAUAGGAUAUAUUAGUGAACAAAAAAUAUAUGUUACUAAAUUUGUUUCAUGUAGGAUUGAAAGAUUGUAACAAUUUGUGAAAAUGUUGCAAUUAUGUUAGUUGACAAAAGGUACCCAUUUGAAUUGGUAUGUUGUAAUUUGAAAGACUACAUUAAAUUCCCCUUAUUCAAUCUUUAUAAAACUUUGCUAAUUAAAUAGACUCCUAUUUAUAGUUGUUUUGCUCUUUCUUAUGCUACCAAUUCUAUGUUUUGGAUACUUGUAUGAUCCUCGGUUUAGCAAUACAAGUACAAAGUUUGUAAAACAUUCUAGGAUUGCAAUGACUACAAGAAAGAAGGGAAAAAAGGUAGUCUAUCUAGGUGAUUAUUAGGGAUGGUAAUGGUAUGAGGUAUUUUGGUACCUAACCCACCCCACCCUUCAUAAAAAGGGUUCAAGAUAAAGAUAAACAAGUUUAAAGUAGGUUUUGGAAGUUUUUAAAAACCUAGAACAAGAUCAAGGUAGGUUUGGGUAUAACUUUGUCCCGUCCUGCAUCGAUUAUAUAUAAUUUUAAAUGAAAAAUUAUUUUAGUUGAUAUUUUUUUCAACUUUUUUCAACAUAAAUAAUCAUAAAAAUAAAUUAUAAAUAUUUUUAAUAUUUAUUUAUUUAUAAAUCAUAUUUAUUUUUAAUAAGAUUUAAAUUUGAAAAACAAAAAAUUGAAAAUAAAUAAAUAAAUGGGGUGGGAAAAGGUAGGUAUUGGAAUUUAAAAACUAUAGAUAAGAGAGUAAAAUAACACCAUGUUCGACAUGAAUUAGUGGCUUUAAAAAAAUAUACAAUAAUUAUUUAAAGAAACAACAAUUCUAAAAAUAUUUUUAAAUCUAUAGCACUUUAUACGAAUAAGUCACUAUAUAAAUUUUAAUGCAUUUUGCUAAAAUCAUAUAAUAAUAAUAAUAAUAAUAAUAAUAAUAAUAAUAAUAAUACAUAACUUCAAUAAAAUACACAAAUUUUGGGAAAUAAUAAUAAUACCUUAAUUAAUAAAUUAAUUGAAUAUAUAUAUUUGCCAUGAUAUCCUAACAUUGAGUUUUUGGUAGGUCAUUAAUAUGAAAUUCUUUGAUCUUAGUUAGAGAUAACAAUGAAGUGAGUUUUUUCAAGUACCUAUCUCACUCUACCCCUAAUGGGGUAAGUUUGAAAUUUAAAUAAACAUGUUUGGAAUUUUUUUUUAAACUCAGGACAAGUUCAAGUAUUGUUUUGUCCCGCCCUACCCUACUCCGAUUAUAUAUAAAAUUUAAUUUCAAAAAUUAAUUUAAUCUCAUUUUUAUUUUUCUAUUUUAAUAUUAUAAUAAUAAUAAUAAUAAUAAUAAUAAUAAUAAUAAUAAUAAUAAAUACUUUGAAAAUAUGUUAUAAAAAAUUAUUAGGUUUUAAUUAUUUAUAAAAUAUAUUUAUUUUAAUGUAAAUAUGAAACUUUAAAAAAAAAUGUUAAAUUGGGUAGGAUGGGGCAGGUAUAAAAAAUAUUUUGAAUAAACAGCAUAGGGUUGGGAUGGGGCCGACUCACCCCGAAUCCGCCCCCGUUGCCAUCCAUAAUCUUAGCAGUUAAUAUAUUAAGCCAAUAAGUGAUAAAAAAAAAACAAUAAUUAAUAAGAUAACAUGAAUUGAUAAUGUAAAUCCAUCAUGGCACCAACCCUCAUCCCAUUGCUUUUUCCCUCCAUGCAUAAGAAUAUGUAUAGAUAUCCAUGAAACAUUCUCUAAUCCAUAUGAAAACUUAGGUAGUGUUUGUUUUUUUAUUAAAUAGAAAAAGUCAAUAUAUAUAUAUAUAUAUAUAUAUUAUUGUUAUUAAUAAGCUAAAAGUAAUCUAUUGAUAUCAACCCACAAGCCCAAGUGAAUUUGUUAUUAAGAAUUUCAGUUUAAUUAUGUUAAUUAAUAUCAACAAGUUACUUUUAUCUAAAUAGAAAAAGUCAAAUAUUUUGAUUUUUUCUAUUCAAUAAAUAAAUAAAAAAACAAAUACCACUAAAACAAUUGACACAUGAAAUACAAUAAAUUUAUUUAUUUUUAAUUUUUUUAUGUUUAUUUAUUUUUCAAUUGUUUUUUUAUUCACAUUCUCCUAAAACAAACCUCUACAAAAAAAAAAAAAAAAAACCAAUUGUAACAUUUAUACUACUUAUAUAUAAAAUAAUUAUAAAAAAAAAAGUUAAAUUUUUUUAAAACUAAAAAACACAGAAAAAAAUGAAAUAGAAAAACAUGAAAAAGAAAUAAAAAUUAAUUAAUUAAUUAAUUUACAUAAAAUACAUAUUAGAAGAAAAAUGGAUAAAAGAGGGAAACAAAAAAUCAGCUCAAAUCAUGUCUUGAACAUCCAAAUUCAUAAUAAUAUAUUGAACUUUAUUCUUCAAGACAUGAUUUUAGAAUGAAACAUGUGACUUUAAGAAAAGUUGUGAUGGAGGGUUUUUGAUGAAGCUCAUGCGGCAUAAAAUGCCAUAAUUUUAUAAAAUAGUUUUGAAACUAUAGCUUUUUGCCCAUAAUUUUUAUAAUUUAUCAAAAUUCCCAUUUUAAUUACACUAUUUUCAUUCAAACUCGCUUCAAUCUCAUUUAUACAUCAUUCAAACUCAUCCUAACUUUAGAUGACAAUAGGACAUUAUUUUUUUUAGUAUACUUACUUCACCUCACCCUUAAGAUGAGAUUGUGAUAAAUAUAAAUGAAUUUGAGGCAGGUUUAAGAAUUCAUUUAAAACGUGGGAUAGAUUUGAAUAUGACUUUGUCUCACCCCAUCUUGUCCCAAUUAUAAAUAAUAUUAAAUAAAAAAUUAUUUUAAUUGAUGUUUUUCAUUUUCAACUUCUUUUAAUAUAUAUAAAUAUUAUUUUUCAUUCAAAUAAAUUAUAAGUAUUUAUUUAUUAUAAAUAAUGUUUAUUUUUAACAUAAUUUAAUAAUUUAAAAAUAAAAAAAAAUUGAAAAAAAUAAAAACAUAAAAUGAGGAGAGAGGUGGGUAGAUAUGAGAGUUUUCUAUACCUGCUUUACCUUGUUUAAUUUUUUUUUUGUUAGUAGGAAUAAAAAUUGAUUUAAUAAAUGGGACAUAGUUGGAAUGAGGUAAUUUGUCUUGAACUCAUCUUAUUACUAUCUUUAAUCUUAACAAAGUGAAAUGAUAUGAGUUGCUCCAAACAUCCACCCAAUUGUCAUCCGUAAUUACAUAUUUGUUUUAUUUCUAGUUAACUCAAACUUCCUAAAAUUUAUUCAUAUCUUUUGAUAUAUUAUAUAUUAUUAUUUGAUUAACCUAAAUAAUAUUUUGUUGUAAAAUAAUUUUAUUUUGCUAAAAGAUCAAUAAUUUAUGGAUAAGAUUAAUUAUACUAUUCCAUUCGGCAAUCUUUAAAUUGUCCUCAAAUCCUUUUGAAACUUCUUUUAAAAUAAUAAUAAUUUAUAAUUUCCUCUUCAAACAUCUCAUUCAAGUAAUGAAACAAAAAUGUUUGACUCUAUCAACUUUGUCACCCUCCACAUUUCUUUUGUCAAAAUUCUUACACAAAUUGAAGGGAUAAAAGUUAUAAGAAAAUCAUCUCUUAGGCAAAUAAUGAUGAAAGCAUUAACAUGAUCUAACCCAAUUUCUCAUAAUAUUUUGAAUUUGAUACGAUUGUAUAAAAAUUUAUUCAUCCAUAUUUUCACUAAAAGAAUCAUUAAAUUCCCUACUAAAUCUAGAUUUAGUUAAUUCUUUAAAUAUUAAAAAAAAAUUAAGAUAUCGAUUCAGUUCUUUCUAAAAUUACAAUCUUGAUCGUGAAAAGUAUAUGAUAACAUUAAAGACAUUUGAUAAUGACAUAAAUAUGUAAG